rnacentral:lncRNA from 1 species
AAAGCGGGUGCCUGUUAGGUUGAGACUCAUCCCAUUGUGAUGGUUUUUUUGACAAUUGAAGUAAGUUACUGGAUGGUUAACCUCGACAGUGCCACGCAAAAAACUGAAGUCUAGUAUUUGUAGAUUCGUGCCAUUUAUAUUCAAUGAAGGCACUUCUUUCCCAUUGGCAGUUUUGCUGCAAAUUACUUGAAACCAGUUAUUGGAAUCAUCUUGGGCCUUCAUGCUAAAAGGGUAGUGAAAAGUAACAUUCCCACAGGACUCUACCUUAGAGGUGUUGAAGUUGAUAGGUCCUAGUCCUGGUCUUCCGCAUCCUGCGAGCUUAGCAAAAGGAAGUAAAUUAUAAAAUCUACUAAAUGUAUAUACAUCCAAUGUUUGUAGGAAAUAAAAGGAAUGUAUCAUUCAAAAAACAAAAAUACACUAACAAAAGUAUUAUAUUGUAGAUACAGAAGCUUAGGUUCUAUAUCAAGUAACCCCAUUCUUUACCUCUAAUCAUCAAAAUAAAUAAAUAUUUAUUAAUAAAAGUCGUAUGAAAAGUGUUACUCUAAGUAAAUUUUUUAAUUAAAUUUGUGUGUUAUUUGUGACACUAAACUCAAUAAAGGAUUUCUUAUUAAUAUAGAUACCAGUAUAAAUCUUACGGUUGAAUUUGAUGUGAUUCAAUAUUUUUAAUUAAAAAUAUUAAUAUUAAUAUACAAAAUGAAUGAUUCUCAAUACUGAUUUUAAACAAUUAGCAAAAUCUAUACAUUAACUGAAUUAAAAGAAGAAAAAUGAAAGCCAAGCAAUUGAAGUGACAGCGCGUGACUGACCUCCGUCACCGCAAUAGGUGGAAUUCCAGCUGAGCAUGGCGGGAACAUGCUUUGUUCCAAUAUUGAUGCCAGUGGGUAAUGGGUAAGCACUACGGAAAGAGUAGUCGGUAAAGAAGAAAGCAGAUGCGCAUUUGUUGCUGUCCGGAUACAUGGCUGUCAUGUUUACAGUAUAGGAAGUGAAAUUUCCCGUAAUUAGAGUAAAGCAGCCAGAUUCAGAAGCACCAUCGUCACACCUUGGUUGAACGCAGCCGCCAAGUGAAUCAGCUUCGUUACUUAAAACAGUAGCCAAAUUUCCGCAACCUACUGACCCGAAAUAAUUUCUGUCACUUGAGAAGAAAAAGGGAGUGCCUGAGAGAUUCACACUCACACUAGCCUCGCUUAUACGAUCACAAUUAAAAUAAGUAACUGGAUUACUGAUGAUAAUGGUGUUAGAAAUCAAACCCACUCCAAGCAUAAUCUAGAAGCAUGAGACGUGGAGCAAUUUUGUGCCAUGCAAAGUGCUGAAAUUUUAGCCAUACAAAGUGCUCCAUUAUUGAGAUGUUUUGUGGCUGGAAAUUAAGUGGAUUAAUAGCCACAUUUGUUGUCACUUUAUCAGCCUAUAAAUAGAGGCUUGAACUUGUGUUGUAAAGGAAGAAAAAUGAGAAGAAAAAAGAAAUAAGAGAAGCAACGUGAGUGAGAGUGAGAAGGUUAGCAAACCUUGAGUGAGUUAAAAUCUAGCAGCAGCUAGACUAUCUAGUCAUUGAGAAAAUAUUUGUAAUCUUCGUAUUGUAAUAUAUUGAGUGUGUAAUAAAAAAGUAAAUUUUCGGCCCAUCACGUUUCCAACAAGUGGCAUCAGAGCUACGGUUCGGAGCUUGGUUCGGAGUUCGGUUCGUGUCCGGUUCGUGUCCAGUUCGGAGUACCUUUGGUGUUCAUCUAACAAGUCGAUAUGGGCGACGUAAUUCAGCUACAAGUUCCACAAUUGACGAAGACAAAUUAUGGAAAUUGGAGCAUUCGAAUGAAGGCUUUGCUCGGUUCGCAAGAUUGUUGGGAGAUCGUUGAAAAAGGAUACAUCGAGCCCGGAGAUGCCGCUACAGAAGCAGCUUUAUCAAAUGACGCUAAGAAGGCGUUACGAGAAGCACGAAAGAAGGAUCAAAAGGCCUUGAAUAGUAUCUUUCAAGGAAUGGAUGAAUCAACCUUCGAGAAAAUAUCAGAUGUGAAGAACGCGAAGAAUGCAUGGGAGAUUUUGCAAAAAUCAUUUCAAGGUGUAGAAAAAGCUAAAAAGGUACGCCUUCAGUCACUUAGAGCUGAAUUUGAAAUGUUAAAAAUGAAGAGCUCCGAGAAUAUCGAUGACUAUGCCAAUCGUGUAAAAUCGGUGGUAAAUGAAAUGAAACGAAAUGGAGAAAAGCUUGACGAUAGAGGAGAGAAGUGUAUCUUUAUAGGCUAUGACAAAAGAAGUAAGGCCUACAGACUUUAUAAUCCUCUUACUAAGAAAUUGAUUAUCUCAAGAGAUGUCGAGUUCGAUGAAGCGGAUUACUGGAGAUGGAGUGAAGAAGAAAAGAAAGUGGAAGGAUUAUUUUUCAACGAAGACGACAAUAACCAAGAAGAACAAGGCGAUGAUCAAAGUCCUGGUACAACAGCCCCUUCGUCACCAACCAGCAGCAGCGGAAGCAGCAGCUCAGAUGAAGCACCCACAAGAACACGGAGUCUCAACGACAUCUACAAUUCUACGGAACCUGUAGAGACGCAGUUCGAUUAUUCACUAUUCUGUCUAAUGACAGAAUGUGAUCCAGUGACAUACGAAGAAGCAAUUGAAAACAAUAAAUGGAAGAAGGCCAUGGACGAGGAGAUUGCUGCAAUAAGAAGGAAUGACAUGUGGGAGCUAACAAGUCUGCCAGAAGGACAUAGCCCGAUUGGUGUCAAGUGGGUGUACAAGACGAAGACCAACAAAGAAGGAAAAGUAGAGAAAUACAAGGCAAGACUAGUCGCCAAAGGCUACAAGCAAAGACAAGGAGUGGACUAUGAUGAAAUAUUUGCUCCAGUCGCAAGAAUAGACACAAUUAGGCUUCUCAUAGCGGUCGCAGCACAAUACAAAUGGAAAAUCUAUCAGAUGGACGUCAAGUCUGCAUUCCUGAAUGGCUACUUGGAAGAGGAAGUCUACAUAGAACAACCACCUGGAUAUAGCAUACAAGGAAAGGAGGACAAAGUCUACCGAUUGAAGAAAGCUUUGUAUGGAUUGAAGCAAGCCCCAAGAGCAUGGAACACAAGGAUCGACGAGUACUUCCGAAGAAAUGGAUUCAUCAAAAGCCCGCACGAGCACACCCUGUACACAAAGAAGAAUGGAUAUGGAGAUAUCAUGAUCGUAUGCCUAUAUGUGGAUGACAUGAUCUUCACUGGAAACAAUCCAGGUAUGUCUGAUGAUUUCAAGAAAGCUAUGACUAAAGAAUUUGAAAUGACAGAUAUCGGUGAGAUGUCAUACUUUCUUGGAGUCGAGGUGAAACAAAUGCAAGAUGGAAUUUUUGUCUCUCAAAAGAAGUAUGCGGAGCAGAUUUUGAACAAGUUCAAAAUGAAGGAUUGCAAGCCAGUAGUCACGCCAGCUGAUCCAGGGAUGAAGCUAAGUGUUGAUUCGACAAGGGAGUCGAUAAAUCCGACGUUGUUUAAAAGUCUCGUUGGAAGUUUAAGGUAUUUGACAAUCACACGACCAGAUAUUACAUAUGCAGUAGGAUUGGUGAGCAGAUUCAUGGAGAAGCCGAAGCAAGACCACUUAAUUGCCGCAAAAAGAAUUUUGAGAUAUAUCAAAGGUACGAUGAACCAUGGUUUAUUCUAUACCCACUCACAAGAUUCAAAAUUAGUUGGCUACUCAGAUAGCGAUUAUGGGGGAGACUUGGAUGAUCGGAAAAGCACUUUCGGAUAUGCAUUCCACAUCAGUUCCGCAGUUUUUUCAUGGUCGUCAAAGAAGCAACAAACAAUUGCUCUCUCAACAUGUGAAGCAGAGUAUAUGGCCGCAGCAACUUGUACAUGCCAAGCAAUGUGGUUGAAGAAUAUUUUGGGAGAAAUAGGUGUUUCAAAUGAAGGUCCAAUUACCAUCUACGUUGACAACAAAUCCGCUAUAUCACUUGCCAAGAAUCCGGUGUCGCACAGCCGAAGCAAGCACAUCGAUACGAAGUAUCAUUUUAUCCGAGAGCAAGUGAAAAACAAAAACAUGGAGUUGGUCCAUUGCAGGACAGAAGAUCAACUGGCAGAUAUUUUCACAAAGCCGUUGAAAGUGGAGACAUUCAACAAAUUCAAAGAGAAGCUCGGUAUGAAAGUUGGGUUUGAGGGGGAGUGUUAGAAAUCAAACCCACUCCAAGCAUAAUCUAGAAGCAUGAGACGUGGAGCAAUUUUGUGCCAUGCAAAGUGCUGAAAUUUUAGCCAUACAAAGUGCUCCAUUAUUGAGAUGUUUUGUGGCUGGAAAUUAAGUGGAUUAAUAGCCACAUUUGUUGUCACUUUAUCAGCCUAUAAAUAGAGGCUUGAACUUGUGUUGUAAAGGAAGAAAAAUGAGAAGAAAAAAGAAAUAAGAGAAGCAACGUGAGUGAGAGUGAGAAGGUUAGCAAACCUUGAGUGAGUUAAAAUCUAGCAGCAGCUAGACUAUCUAGUCAUUGAGAAAAUAUUUGUAAUCUUCGUAUUGUAAUAUAUUGAGUGUGUAAUAAAAAAGUAAAUUUUCGGCCCAUCACGUUUCCAACAAAUGGCGUCUGAAAAUAUGGAAUCAAGUACCUCCAGAUUGAUGCCAUAUACGUUUAUGAAUGGCUUUUCCCCAUUACGGGUCGAUUUGCAAGUUACUCUAAACCAAGAAUGAGUAUAGCAGCUGCUAUGGAUUCCAAAAGGGGAUGGAAUUGUAAUAUUCCCACAUACUUCUUUACCACAGGCAGGUUCUCGAGAUUCUGCUGCUUGUGAAAUUGGGCAUAACAGGAAGAGGAAGAGGAGUAGGAGGAUGAAGUAAAGCGCUAACUGAAAACCCAUUUGCGUUGUUAUUUUGUUUGAGGGAAAUGAAUGAAGAUUUAGAUUGGGUUAAUGAAGAACUCAUUAAUAGAUUUUGUGGAAAUUAAAUUAAAACAAAGGAGGUAUCAUUAUCAACAACUAUGGACCAUAAGCAGAUUCAUUCCUUUUAUUAUAUAUUAUUCAUACUAACAACAUAGAAAUUUCCAUGAAAAAGUAAGGUCCAUGACAUCCACGGAAGCAACGACAACAAUCUGCCCCUAUAACAAUUGCAAAAAUACCUUGACUCCUCUAGAAAUCCGUCAGUUUGGAAACUGUAACGUUUAUGCUAUAACCAAAUAAACAUUUUAGAAAUAUCUGCUCUCCAAAGUCAUGUUUGUUUAUCUUCAAUUUCGUCCUUAUAUAAACAAAACUCCAACAUAUAGAAAAAGAAAUGAUAGCCCUUGAAAUCCUUAAUAUCCAAACCAUAUUUAUGCAUAAGGAAUUUGCAUAGGAGACGAGAAAAUGGAAUCUGAACUUAAUGGGAAAUUUCGUCACAGUCAAGCUAAAGUUUAACAAUUUAGGAUCUUUUAUCUAUAUGGUGUUCCACUUUUAUGUAUAUUUCCAAGUUUUUCAAUAUGAAGUCGGUUCAACGAAAAGGAAAUUACUUUAAAUUUUUAUAAUUAAUUGGAUUCAAAAAUAUUUUUUAAUAAUUUGGUAUGCGUAUACUUUCACAUAACUUCUUAUGAAUCUCACAUAACACAUUAUAUGUCAAUUUCACAUGAAUUUCGUAAACCAUGUUAAAAUGGAAUAUGUCCACCACCUGCUUAAAUUGAAUUAUUAUAUAACUUAUCCAUUGCUUAGCAAAGGUUGUAUUGCCUACACUUUGGUUCAUCAUGUCCCCACCCGACCCAUUUUAGAUGUUCAUUUUACUAUUUACUUUGAAAAAGAUUAAUAAUCAUCCUAUAUAUUUAUUAAUGUUUUGAAAGAAAAUUCUGUCUAUCCAAUUUAUUGAUGAUGCAUAAAAAUAAUUCCUUAAAAUUUUACUAAUGUAUUUUAAAAAUAAUUCUUUUUGUACAUAUUAUAAAUGUGAAAGGGUACGAAACUCAUGUUUGAAGUCAUGCUAACUCAAUCACUUACUAAAACCAAAUUAAAGCAAUUAAUUUUACAAUAGUGGCCAUAUGGCACUUUUUAAUUUCACUUCUAAUAUUUAAAAGUGAAGUCUUUUCUUUCUACAAGGUGAAGCUAGAAGGUAGGAGAUAGCAUAGAGUGUUAGCCUCUUGCCCAAAAUAAAAGACAUUAUCCCUAAUGAGUGAUAGCAAAGGUGAUUGUGUUGGAUCUUUCAGCAUAAACAAAAGAAAAAUCGAAUGAAGCAAAAAGAAGAAACUGAAAAUGAAAACUCAGCAAGAAAUGUAACUGAAAGUCAUCAUUUUUUUCAUUCAAAUUUGAAUAUAUGAAGGUUACAAAAAAAAUGUUUGACAGUUACCUACUAACUUAACUGCCCUUACUUAAUACAUACUAAAAUGAUGCAAGUUGAUUACAAAAGAAAGCUGGCAUACCAGCUUUUACAUCAGUCAAUCUUUCCUACUAACUUAGCUAACUCAUUACAAAGAUUUGGACUAAGUUCCAUAGGAACAAAACAUUCAAAAAGUAAUUCUAUAACUGAACCAAUUUCAUUUCUUUGCUACAAAACAGUAUAGCAGCUAAACUUAUACAAUUUGCUGCUGCUGGUCUGUUGAUCAAUUUGUUGCUGUUGGUCCUCUGUUGCACUGCAGGCCAUGGGUUUAACACUCCUCCUUGGACUGUAUGCAACAAACACCAAUCUUUUCUUUCAAGACAUUAAAUUGGUUGGCUCCCAAUGGCUUGGUUAAAAUGUCAGCCAAUUGAAUUUCUAAACUGCAAUGGACUAAGCUAACCUCCUUCGAUUGCUCAACUUCUCUAACAAAAUGGAAUUUAAUUUUGAAGUGUUUAGUCUUACCAUGGAAGAUUGGAUUUUUGGCUAUGGCCAUAGCUGAUUGAUUAUCCACCCUGAUUUCAGUAGGCUGAGCUUGACUUUCAUUCAAAUCAUCCAAAAUCUUCCUAAGCCAAAUGGCUUGAUUCACUGCUACUGCAGCUGAGAUAUACUCAGCCUCUGCUGCGGAUUGAGCAACAGUUUGUUGCUUCUUUGAGCUCCAGCUAAAAACACUUGAGCCUAAAGUAAAGAAGUAACCUGAAGUGCUCCUCAUGUCAUCAAUUGACCCUGCCCAAUCACUAUCAGAGUAGCCAACAAGUUUCAGCUCCUUUGUCCUCCAAAACUUCACACCAGCAUCAAUGGUUCCUUUGACAUACCUUAACACCCUUUUUGCUGCCUUUAAAUGAGCCAUGUUACUGCAAUGCAUAAAUAUUGAAAGAAAACUAACAGCAUAGACAAUGUCUGUUCUAGUUGCUGUCAAAUAAAAUAAGCAGCCAAUUAAGCUUCUAUAUGCUUUCUCAUCUACUCGAUCAUGCUCACUGGUACUUGACAACUUCUCCCCUAAUGCAACAGGUGUAGUAACUGGUUUGCAUUUCAGCAUGCAAAAUUUCUCCAGCACCUUGGAAGCAAAUGUCUGCUGACUUAUAAAAAUACCAUCACUUCCUUGUUUUAUUUCCUUGCCAAGAAAAUAGGUCAUCAUACCAAGAUUAGUCAUUUCAAAGACUUCUUGCAUCUGUUUCUUGAAGUCUUCUAUAAGUUCAUCUUUGCAGGCAAUGACCAGCAGAUCGUCAACAUACAAGGAAACAAUUAAUAAGGUUUCCUUCUGAUCCUUCUUAACAUAGAGUGUAGGCUUACUGACACUCUUAGUGAAUCCGAGCCUAGCUAAGUAGCCAUCAAUCCUUUCAUACCAGCCCUUGGAGCCUAUUUUAGGCCAUAUAAGGCCUUUUCAACUUGUAGACUUUCUGUUCUUCACCAGAGACCUUAAAACCCUCAGGUUGCUCUAUGAAAAUUGCUUCAUUAAGAAAGCCAUUUAGAAAGGCUGACUUAACAUCUAAAUGAUGCACCUUCUAGUGCUUUUGAGCUGCCAAAGCAAGCAGCAAUUUGAUAGUAUCCAGCCUUGCAACAGGUGCAAAGGUUUCAGAAAAAUCAACCCUUUGCUGCUGACUAUACCAUUUAACAACCAGCCUGGCUUUAUGUCUGUUCAGAGAGCCAUCUGCAUUGUUCUUAAUUCUAUAGACCUAUUUCACACCUAUGAUUUUUCUAUUUUCAGGUCUAUUGACAAGCUCCCAAGUGUCAUUCUUCUGAAUCAUUCUAAACUCAGCUUCACUAGCAUCUUGCCAGCAUCUUUCUCUUGCAGCUUCAUCAAAGCAUGAAGGCUCUACCAGAGUUACUGCAUAUCUUUCAUAGAUGUUUGCUAGUGUCCUGGUGCCUCGAACAGGUUCAUCAUUAUAGCCAUCUUCAGUUAUUGCUUCAUUUUUAGCUUGCUGCAAAUCAACAUCAAUCUGAUCUGCCUCAGGCAAAUUUGCUUCAAUUCCAUCCCAUUUCCAGCUACUUCCUUCACUGAAUUUUACAUCCCUGCUCACUAUAAUCUUCUUGGUCAGUGGAUCAAAAACUCUAUAUCCCUUCUUUACACUACUGUAACCAAUAAACACCCCUGGCAUGGACCUCCUAUCCAACUUAGUUCUUUUCUCCUCAGGUAUCAACACAUAACAUAGGCAACCAAACACCUACAAGUGUGAGACAGAUGGUUUCUGCCCAAACUAGGCUUCAAAGGGAGUUUUACCCUUAACUGCACUAGUUGGUAGCCUAUUCAAUAGAUAAACAGCUGUAUUCACAGCUUCAGCCCAAAAAACAUUAGGCAUUUUAGCCUCGAACAAUAGACACCUAGCCAUGUCAAGGACAGUUCUAUUUUUUCUUUCACAGACACCAUUUUGCUGUGGUGUGUCCACAGUAGUCAACUGGUGUUGGAUUCCAACAUCAUCACACAAUUUUUGAAACUUCUGAGAUACAUACUCAGAUCCAUUGUCAGACCUUAAGCAUUUUAGUUUACAAUUUGCUUGGUUUUCAACCAAGGCUUUAAAUUUGCAGAAAGAAUCAUAAACAUCUGACUUAUGCUUUAAAAAAUUCACCCAACAGAACCUUGAAUGAUCAUCAAUGAAGAGUACAAAGUACCUGCUGCCAUUUAAAUAGGUAGUCUUCAUAGGUCCACAGAUGUCUGUAAGAACUAGCUGAAGCUUUUCUUGUGCUCUCCAUGCCUUGUUGACUGGAAAGGGUAAUCUGGUCUAUUUGCCUAGCUGACGGAUCUCACACACAACAUCUUUUGGCUCAAUUUUAGACAUGUCACUGACCAAAUCCAUCUUAUGCAUCAUACUUAGUGAAUUGUAGUUCACAUGCCCCAUCCACCUGUGCCACAAGUCUGUCUCAUCAGACUGAGAUGCAUAUGCCUUAGCCUGAAGCUGAUUUACAUCUACUAUGAAGGGUCUGUCUUGCAUAGCCACUGUGGUUAACACUUCUCCAGCAACAUUUUUAAUCAAAUAGUUUCUGCCUUCAAAAAUAAGGGAGUAGCCCUUCUCCAACAGCUGGCCAACACUUAGCAAGUUUUGGUCAAUGUCAGGUACAUAGAGAACCUCUGAAAUGGUUUUAAUACCUAAAUUAGUGCUUAUCAAAGCCUUGUCUUUCCCUUUUGCCUCCAGCAGCUCUCCAUUGCCAAUUCUGACUUUGAACUUGAAAGUGGUGUCAAGCUCCUUAAAUAUGCUCUUCUCAGAAGCCAUAUGGUGGGUACAUCCACUGUCAAUUAGCCAACUUUUGCUAACUUUGCUUGAGCUUGCAAAGCAUGAUGCUGAAAAAACAUGCUCUUCUUGUGUUUCAACUUCUUCUACUACAUGAGCUUGGUUUUGAUACUGUGGUUGUGCUUUUGGUUUGUUUUUACAAACUUUUUCAAUGUGGCCAAAUUGCUUGCAGGCUCUACAUUGAAUAUUUGGUCUAUACCAGCAGUAUUUCUCAAGGUGAGUAGUCUUCUUGCAAUGGACACAAGGUGGGAACUUCUUUCUGGCAGGUUCUCUAUUCUUCUUCUCAGUCCAAGGCUUAUUGCCUUUGACAUUCAAGUUUGAACUUGAGCAUUCUCUGCUUCUAGCCUGAAAAGCUCCUUCAUAGUGGUCUUCUUGCCUAUUUGCCCUUCUUUGCUCUUGAGCAUAAAGAGCAUUUAUGAGCUCUGUCAAAGGGAUUGUUGACAAGUCUCUUGAAUCUUCCAGAGAAGAAAUUUUUGCUUCAUACUUCCCUGGCAAGGUUGUUUUGACUUUCUCAACCACUCUUUGAUCACUAAAUUCUUCCCCAAGCAGCCUUAUAUUGUUGACAGUAGCCAUGAUUCUGUCAGCAUACUGCUUGAUGGUUUCUGAGUCCUUCAUCUUCAGGUUUUCAAAGUCUCUUCUCAAGUUGAUCAGCUGUUGUUGCCUGGUCUUGUCAGACCCCUGAAACUUCUCCUUGAGUUUGUCUCAGGCCUAUUUUGGAGUGUCACAGGCCAUUAUCAUUGUGAAAAUAACAUCAGAGACUCCACUUUGAAGGCAUGACAUAGCCUUGUAUUUCUUGGCACAGUCUUCACUAUGCUGCCUGAUCUGAGCUAUGGUCGGGUUAGCUUUUAAUGGUGGUGGCUCAGUGUCAUUGAGAACAACAUUCCACAGGUCAUGUGCCUGCAGGUAUGUUCUCAUUUUCACUGCCCAGAUGUUGUAAUUUUCUCCAGCAAAGACCGGUGGAGGAGGUGGUGAAAAACUCAUUUACAGCAACCAAAAAACAACCUCUUCUUCUUUGUUUUAAGCACUGCUUGCCUGUUGACAGUGUACAACCAAGGCCCUUAAAGACUGAAAGCUCUCGAUACCAUUUCUUGGAUCUUUCAGCAUAAACAAAAGAAAAAUCGAAUGAAGCAAAAAGAAGAAACUGAAAAUGAAAACUCAGCAAGAAAUGUAACUGAAAGUCAUCAUUUUUUUCAUUCAAAUUUGAAUAUAUGAAGGUUACAAAAAAAAUGUUUGACAGUUACCUACUAACUUAAUUGCCCUUACUUAAUACAUACUAAAAUAAUGCAAGUUGAUUACAAAAGAAAGCUGGCAUACCAGCUAUUACAUCAGUCAAUCUUUCCUACUAACUUAGCUAACUCAUUACAAAGAUUUGGACUAAGUUCCAUAGGAACAAAACAUUCAAAAAGUAAUUCUAUAACUGAACCAAUUUCAUUUCUUUGCUACAAAACAGUAUAGCAGCUAAACUUAUACAAUUUGCUGUUGCUGGUCUGUUAAUCAAUUUGUUGCUGCUGGUCCUCUGUUGCACUGCAAGCCACGGGUUCAACAGAUUGUUCUUUGAGAAGAAAUUUUCAAGAAUGUCACUCUUGACCCUGUCCGAUGACAAGAGGCUCCACAUUAUUUAUAGCCAUUCAACGUAUAAGGAGAAUUAGGGCGAGUUUGGAUGGGCGGUGCAUUUACUUGCGGUUAGUGUAAAAACAGCGGUGGCGGUGAGAUUAGAUAAUGUAGUGAUACUGUAGCAUGAAACAAAAAGUAAGCUAAACGCACCGCUCCGCUCCCAAUCGCCCAUCCAAACCCACCCUUAGUAUCACAAGUACAAGAAUAAUUUCCAUCACAACUGAACAAAAUACUUCCAAGUCAUAUUCUUUUGUGGAAAGGUAUUCUCAAUAGAAAAGUAUAUCCACGAAAUGAUAGAAAAGGCUUUGGCCACAAUUAAAUCAACACCUUUAAAUAGUUAUACGAAAUUAAAAAUGGAAUCGUCAAUGUCAUGACAUCAUCAUCUUAUAACUUUAUACUCUAAAGAAAAUUUUGUUAAUUAAUUACUACUUUAAUUAUCGAUAAUUUUGCUAAUUAUUUUUAAAUUUGUACUUAAUACACCAGCACCAUGUUUGGCGUGUUUCGUUUCUACGACUUAUGAUUUUCCAAUUAUUUUUGAAUGAAAGUUUUGCUUUCACGAUAAAUUGCAAUUUUGCAUUAAAAUAAUAUUAAAAAAUCCCCCAUCUGUUGCAACAUUGAACAGUGAGAUGGUUGCCUGAGAUUUUCUAUGUAUGAAAAGAAACAAGCAAGAAAUUAGCGAGGCAGGUACUCAAGUAUAUAUCUUUAGCAAGAAAAACUAACAUAGGAAUUCUCCAAUUUGAUCCACUAUUGUGUUUUCUUUUUAUGGGAAGAACAUUAAUCAUUGUGCCCUAGUUACUUCCAUAAAUUUUUGCUUCUUUAAAAAUAAGAAGAAGAAGAAAGAAAGAAAAACAUCAACUUUAGUCCUACAAUGAACUCGUAUAAAUUCGUUAGUCCUGAAACUAUGACUUAAUACAACUGAACCUUUAGAAAAAUAUGGCCUCAUCCUUAACCAUUUCCCUUAUUCUAGGGAUACUGUAGGCUACCAUCCUUCUAAUUUCAUCUGAUACAUCCUCAAUAAUACUCCUAGGAUAUCUGAUUGAUUUAUUCGCUAAUUGAAUACUCAUCCUAGUAUGUUCGGGUUUCCCGAGACCAAGUUGUUUAAACAUCUUGUAGGGCAUCAUAACAUUUAUGCUAGCCCUUAAAUCAGCUAGAACAUUUUCAAUAUUUAAACUACUAAUAAGACAAGGAAUAGUAAAACUCCCUAGGUCUUUAAGUUUGUUGGGUAAUUUAUUUUGGAGAAUGACCGAGCAAAAUGCAUUGAGCUCCACAAUCGAUGAGUCGUCUAAUUUCCUUUAAUUUGUUAACAACUCCUUUAAAAUUUUUAUAUAAUUUGGUAUCUAUGGAAGAGCUUCAACAAAUGGUAAAUUAAUAUGCAAUUUUAUAAUAUCAUGUACAUGAUUAAUAUUAGUGUAUUUAUAUAUUCAUUUAAUUAAAUUGGGCUCAUUGACUCUCAUUAUAUCUCUUCAAAUACACUAUAUGCUUAGAAAUUUCGAAGAAAGAUGAAAACAAUGUUAUGGACAAUUUCAUCGAAAUUAAGCCAAAGUUUUCCAAUUAAGAACCUUUCGUGGAAAAUUUGACAUUUGAAUAAUCAUCACAUACAAUCUUUAUUUAUAAGGUGUUCCACAUUUGCAUAUAAUAUAUUUCCAAUUUGGUCCAAAGAAAAGGGAAGAUAUUUUAAAAGUGCGUAAUUUUGAAUUCAAAGCUUAAUAUAUGUAAUUUAUGCUUAAUCCUUUCAAUAUUUAUGUGUGAAGCAAACUUAUCAAAUAUAAAAACAAUGUCUCUUUCAUAACUACAUGGGAUAGCCUGAUGGUCAAAAGUGUUCACCGCCUCAAGCAUGGUCUAAAUUUGAGCUGUUAUUGUAAUUCAAAAGAAGAAAAAAACAAUGUUUUCAUCAAUUUGCAUAAAGAAAACACUAAGCCAAACCAUUUAGAAAGGAGGGAACGAUGCUCGUGGCCUGAGUUUUAUUCUGGGUGUUUAAAACUCUUAAAUUGUCUUUGAUAAUUUCAUUCGUUUUGGUUUAUUAUUUUUAUACUAAGGUUAGUUUGGGGUAUUUGCACUUAUUUUAAUUUUAUUAAUUUUAAAUAUUAUUUGAUAAAAUUUCCAAUUGUUUUUAUAAAUAUUUUUAAAUAAAAGUAUUCAAUAACUUUUUAAAUACAUAUAAUUUUUAAGUUAUUUACAUUAUUUUUUAUAUCAUACAAAUUAAAUUAAUUUAUAUAAAUUAAAAGGAUAAAUCACUUUUUAACCCUUAAACUUAGUUGCUUUUCUCAAGUUGAUAUCUAAUGUUUUUGGAUCUAAGUUGGUACUUGAACUUAUAUUUUAGGUAACAUUUUCCUCAUUUUUUGUAUCAAUGUUAAAUUAUGUUGACAUACAUUUUAAGAUUUGUGCCAUGUUAUCACUUUAAAUUUUAUUUAAAUUUGAAAAUAUUAAAUAAUAAUAAACAAUUAUUUAAAUAUAAAAAAUAAAACUAUAAAAAUUAUAAACCUUUAUUAAAAAUUAAAAAUAUGAAUAAUUAUAAUAAAUCUAUUUGAAAAUCUUUUUAAUUAUUUUUCUUUUUACUUAGGAUUUUUUAUUCCUUUAUAAUUAGUUAUACAACAAUUAUGAUAAUACUCUAAAAUGACAUACUUUUAUGUGUUAAUUACAUAUAUAUUUUGAGUACGAUCCUACUAAUUUGGGUCAUUUAUGGUUUUUUUAUCUUGUAGGAACUAAAUUGAAGGCAAAAAGAAAUUUGGGAACAAAAAGCGAGAAUUUAAAGACAAAACGAGUCAGUAUGCGAAAUAGGGAAGAAAUUGUGCCGAAAAUACAAAGUGUAGAAGACUUGGGGCAAAAUUUCAAAGAAGAGAUUUAUGAACAUAAGACUUUGUUUAAAUUAAAAUUUUAUUUUUAAGAUUAUUGUUAGGAUUAUUAUAUUGUUUAGAUUUAAUUUCAAAUUAUAUCUCUUAAAUAUUAUCAUCUAAGUUUAAAUAGGAACAAACUGGGUUCUUUCAUGUACUAUAAAUAGGGAAUGGGGUGACAUGAAUAUCCACUCAUCAUUUUUGAAAAAAACUCAUUCUCCCUAAGGCUCCUAGCCUUUUUGUUUCUUUUUCAAUAAAUUCCAUUUCAUUAAAACUAGUGUUUUUUUUUUCCAAAAAGCAUGAAUAACUAAACUCAUCCAGUCAAAGGUUAUCAAGACUCCUCCAAAAGAGUUCAUGAGGCUUAGAACCCGCACUUAGCCCUUCUUAACGAGUGUUCAUCAUUUCUCUGCAUUACAGGACUGACGCUUCCGUCCAUGUCCUUCCAAAAUUAAUCUUUUCAUCUUGUGCAAAGACAACCGCUUUGUAUGUUUUGGGAAGGUUACACAGUCAGUUCACUAACUUACUACGUCAGAGGUAGUCGAGCCCAAGAGAUGAAAUGGUGCGACAUUCAUCAUUGAGAAAUAAUGAUCUAGUGUAAGACAGUCCCACAGAAGUGACGGUUGGCUAGAGUCAGGUUCCACUAGACCGUAAGGCUAUAACCGAAGAGGAGCUAGUGGUCGUAGGCAUCCUCUUCCACUAUAACUUACCUAUUCAGUCAUGAGAAGGAUCACCUAAAAGCCUAUGAUUGAACCAAAGGAGGAUCGAGAUAACUAGAGGCUGGAACCCCUCAAUCGGAAAGCCCAUUUUUCUCAAUUCUACUUCUUAUCACAAUUAUGAUUUCAAUCUGUCAAAACCACUUUUAGAUAAAAGGGAUCGACUUUUAAAAAUAAAAUAACAAAAUAGUAGUCACCGCCGAUCUUUUGUUAAGAUGUGAUCGGAUCACCUUGAAAACGAUUUUGGUCUACGAAAUUUAAAAAAAUAGGUCCGGGAGUCGAUUACUCACAAGGAAGGGUUAGCACCCUCGUAACGCCCAAAAUUGAUACCUAAUUGAUUAAUUAAUGUCUUAAAGUCGAAUGAUAAAAAUCCGAAAAGAUUAAAAAUGAUUCCCCUUUUUAUUAAUGCCAAUUUUUAAAACAACCUUUGAAUAAAUUUGAAAUAGUAUGUAAAAAACUCUCUUGUCUCGAGGCAACAAAAUGUCGUAUCGCAUAAGUUAGGAUGCAAUAUUUGAAUUCUCGAGCAUAAGCUAACCUUUAAAAAUUUAAUUGAAAUCUCAUGUAUUUGAAACCAAAAAAUAUCUAGCCAUUUUGGCUCGAUGAGAAAAUCGAAACCCCGUAAGUUAGGGUACGAUUUUUCGAGGUUCCAAAGAUGACAUAUAAUCUCGCCUUUAUUCUAGAAAAAGAGAAGAUCCUUGUCUCGAGAUAACAAAAUAUCAUAUCCAAUGAGUUAGGAAACAACAAAUUGAAUUCUCGAGAAUAGGUUUUUAUUUGAAAUUUUACGUUUUGAUUUAAAAAGGAAUACUAGGUUUCUUAAAUCUAACAAAGAAAAUUAAAACCCAGUAAGUUAAGGCGCAAUCCUCUUGAGGACCCCAAAUUCCAAGUAUUGUGUUAUUUUUGAAAACCUUUGUAUAAAAUAACUUUGAUACUUAUAUUAAACGUAAUCUUUUGAACGAAUAAAAAACGAUGGAAUAAUAAUUUACAACGCAAAAUGAUGAUUCGUAAAUCAAAAUGUACACUAAUGAAUGACAAACAAUCAAUAAAUAGAAAUAAACAAUACAAUACACAUAAUAGUAAGAAUCUCAUAUCAUAUGUUGGGUGAAUACCAAUAUUAAAAGCUAAAGAAUUAAAAGGAAUAUUAAGCAAAUUAACACAACCAAAGUAUAACAAGUUUUAAAAUAAAAAAUGAAUAAUGAAUAACAUGAAAAAAAAUAUCUAUAUAUAAACAAUAAAUUACAUGCAUACAAUUUCAAAAUAAACAAUAUACGAGUUUGAAAUAGAUCAAAAAUGAAGAUAAAAUGAAUACUAUGUGAAAUGAUAAUAUCCAAAUGAAUUUUAAAGUAAAUAUUGUAUAUAAAAAAACAAAUCAAAAUAUGUAAAAUAAAAAUAAUAAUAUAUAUAUUAAUCUAAACAAAUAAUACAUAUGGAAUGAAAAGUUUAACAAUAACAUAAAUAAUAAUAUAUAACAAUAUAUGUAAAAAGUUGAGAUAGGUAAAAUAUAAUAAAUAGUUUUUUUUUAAAAGAAAUAAAUUAUAUAUAUAUAUGAGAAUGAGAAAAAAAAUGGAAUCAAUAAUGUAUCAUAUAUGUAUGUAUGUAUAAUAUACAUUGUGUAUAUACAUAUAAAAUAUUAUUAUAUAGGAAGAUUAUUGUAUAAAUCAUUAAAACAUAGCAAUAUAGAAGAAAAUUUUAAAGGUAUAUUAUAAAGUAAAACUAUAAGAAAAAAUUGUGUACAAAUAAUAUUGAAUUUAUAUAAAAAUAUAUAAAAUAAUACAUGAUAAAUUUAAAUAAAAAUACAUGAUAAACUUAAAAUAAUGUUAAUAAUAAAUUUAAAAUAAUAAUAUAUUAUAAAUUAAAAUAGUAUUAAUGAUAAAUUUAAAAAUAUAUUAAACUUAAGCAUAAAAAGAAGGUUAGAUUUAAAAAAUAAAUAUAUCUAAAAAAUAACAGAAUAAUGAAUUUUAAACAAAAUAAAAAUCAAGGAUAUUAAAUUAAAUAAGUAUGGAUUAAGUUGUAUUUAAUUCGAAAUUAAAAGAAAAAAAUGAAAAUAAAGCAGAAUUGAGGACCAAAAAGGAACACGCGAUUAACAUGGGGAUUAAAGAGGAAAAUAUUCCAAUCCCCAAAACAUAGCAUUUCAUCAUGGACCAAAAUGAAAUUAACAGGAAAUUAUGUGGCCACAAUUAAAGAAAUAAAAUGGACCAGAUUGAACCACAGCACAAAGGCGAAGGGACCUGGCGCACAAAUAUCCCUCCCAAUACCAAAACGCGCGGAUCUAGUCGCAUUUGGGCCGGGUGAUCGGGUCGCUGGUCAGAACGGUGCCGUUUUAGAACCACUGAAACAAGGUCUAAACGGCACCAUUUCAAUAAUUUGCAUAAAACUAAAAAAACCCUAAAUGUUCCUUUAGCCGCUUUAACACAAAUCAACAAAACCCUCAGCCACUCGGUUGCCUCACCGUUCUCGGUCCCCCCAUCCGAACUCCGAUCGCGAUGGAGUGAACGGGAGUUCAAGGCACUACCACAAAAGGUAAAUCCCCUAUCCCUUAUUCGUUCUCCUUUUUACAUACAUCAAAUAUAAUAAACUGAGAGUCAAAGAAAUUAAAAAUAAUAAUAAUCUAAAAAUGAAAUCAUGAAAUCACCUUUCAAAAACUUUGAUUUUGUAUUCCUUUGUUAAUUCAAUGUUUUUUAAAAUUUGAAGGGAAGAAUACAUGAAUUGGGGGCCCUCAUUUUAUAGCCUGAAAAGCGUUUCUUUUCUUUAUUUUCUCUAAUUUCUUAUUUUUCUGUUAUUUGUUUCUAGUUUGUUCUUUUAUAGGUGCGAGGCCAUACGGUGAUGUGGCGCGGUACGUGGCGUGGCGGAGGUGGCACAGAAGGCGGUGCAUUGUUUGGCUGUUGUUGUGGCGUCUGGACCUAGGCUGUUAGGGUUUAACUGGGUCUAGGAUUGGGUCUGAUGGCUAUGUUGCGCUUGUUAGGGUUUUUAAUUUUAAUUUGGGCUGAUUUUUUUUUUUGGUAAUUGAACUUUAAUUGUAAAUCGACCUUAUUAUUUUGGCUUUAGGCUCUAAUUGGUUUUGGUUUGUAAUGUAAAUGGACUAGACAUUAUUUUAUUUUAUUUAGUUUUAUUUUAAUUUGGUUUUAAUGGGCCCGGGCAAAAUUUGGGUUUUACAACUGCCCCUCUUUGCUUAUUGUCGUGUAACGAGAAUGGAGCAAAGACUUCAAAAAGAUAAAUUUUGCCCAGUCAUGCCGAGUUUUGGCUUCUUGGUACUGCUCCAAUCCACUCUGUCUUGCUGCUUCAAUUCACUCCACUAUAACUUUAUGGAGAUAAGGCUGGUGGCUUUAAUCUGCUCCACUGCAAUGCCAAGGAAAUAAGAUUUGUUGCCUUCAGCUUUAAUCUGUUCUGCUUUAAUCUGUUCCACUUCAGCUUUAAUCUAUUCCACUGCAACGCUAGGAAAAAAAGAUUCACUGCCUUCAGCUUUAAUCUACUACAAUGCCAGAGAAAUAAGAUUAUCUGCCUUCAGCUUUAAGAUGUUCCACUUCAGCUUCAAUCUAUUCCACUACAACACUAAGGAAAUAAGAUUCGCUGCCUUCAGCUUUAAUCUACUGUAACGCCAGGGAAAUAAGAUUCGCUGCGUUCAGCUUUAAUCUAUUCCACUACAACACUAAGGAGAUAAGAUUCGUUGCCUUCAGCUUUAAUCUACUGCAACACCAGGGAAAUAAGAUUCCCUGCCUUCAGCUUUAAUCUGUUCCACUGCAACGGCAAGGAAAUAAGAUUCACUGCCUUCAACUUUAAUCUACUGCAACGCUAGAGAAAUAAGAUUCGCUGCCUUCAGCUUUAAUCUAUUCCACUGCAAUGCUAAGGAAAUAAGAUUCACUGCCUUCAACUUUAAUCUACUGCAAUGCCAGGGAAAUAAGAUUUGUUGUCUUCAGCUUUAAUAUGUUCCACUGCAACGCUAAGGAAAUAAGAUUCGCUGCCUUCAGCUUUAAUCUACUGCAACGCCAAGGAAAUAAGAUUCGUUGCCUUCAGCUUUAAUAUGUUCCACUGCAAUGCCAAGGAAAUAAGAUUCACUGCCUUCAGCUUUAAUCUACUGCAACGCUAGGUAAAUAAGAUUCACUGCUUUCAGCUUUAAUCUGUUCCACUGUAAUGCCAAGGAAAUAAGAUUCACUAUAAUGACUUCAAUCCAUCCCACUGUAACUUCAGCGGUAUAGGAUUUAUGGUUUCACCAAUAUGUUCGCUAGGGAACAUGACCUAUAAAAUCCAUUUCAUGGGCCUAUUCAUGCCUAGUGAUUAGGAUGUAAUGAUUGGAAUGAAAUUAAAAUCUCCUAACUAGAUGUGUAUGAAUGAAUGCAGAAUGCCAUGAAAAUAAUCUCUUAAUGUUUGAGUUGUUAUUGCUCAUUGUUUAUUAAGGCUCCAUCAUUGACAUGUUCUUGUUCGGCUGGUACCUUCGACAAAAGACCCAGAGAAACACUCAAUCAGUUUGCCCCACUAUAACCUCAAGGUUCAACUGUAUUUCUGGGUCAUGAGUCUUGUGCUAUUGAGACCCGGGUAUAAAAUCUGACACUUUUUCCAUCCUCUCCUACUGCAAUUCAAGAGUAUAGGAUGUGAAUAUUCUUCCACUACUUUGGUCAUUUACACCACUCCUAGGGUGUCGUGAUCAAAUGUUUAUGCACAAAUGUAGAAUUUUCUUCUCCAAGAAAAACCUCUUCUUAUUACUCAGUGGUCAUUGCUUGUUUGCUCAUUGAAGCUUUAUCACCGACAUGAUAUUUUGUUGCUUUGUUCAAUCAAUAUUUUGACAGCAAAAUCCAAAGGGAUAGUCUUAAUUUAGACUUUUCCUUCUCAGAUAUUUCCAACCUUUAACCAGGUACGUUCUAAACAACAGUCCUGUUUCAAGUUCUUGUAUUAUUUAGAAACUUCUAGAGUAAUAUACAAAACUUCCUUUGUGAAAGUAUUAUUAGUCCAUUAAUCAUUAUUGCAAUGUAACAUGCUUGCAAAAGAUUAUAACAAUGGAUAAGAAUAGAAUUGAUUUGGAGCAUAGCUCAAAAUGAAUAAAUUACCAAGGAUAAAGAAGAAUAAAAAAGGGAAUUGAUUGGGAACAUGUAUCUUGAAAAGAAUAAAGUAUUCCAAGAAUAGCAAAUUCAAUAUAAAUAGUAUGAAGACUAGAUGCCCAGAUAUCGCAGCUUGAACUUCUCUGUACCAACCUUCUAAAAAACUGUUUUGAAUUUGACAUGUGUUUAGGAGAUCUACAGUACUUUGUCGAUGUCUCAGAUGUUGCAUACCCCUUUCCUGUUAAUUCAAGUAUAGCAAGAUCAUAGCAUGCCCUAUUUUGAUCAAUAUUUGAGCCGCUCUUUUUAGGUUUUCAAGUCAAAUCCCUUUUGGUCUUAGGAUUCCCUUUGCGGGUUUUCACCUUGGCCUCUCUUUUUUUUUAGGACUCAAAGCACCCAUUGCGGGUUUUCACCUUGGUCCCUUCUCCUUUUUUAGGUGAAGUAUUUCUUGACUCAAUUUGAGAGUACAAGAUUUGACAAGUUUUUACCAUCCAUCUUACUCAAAAUCAUUGCUCCUCCAGAAAAGGCCUUCUUUACAACAUAAGGUCCUUCCUAAUUUGGCAUCCAUUUCCCUCUAAAAUUCUUUUGUAGAGGAAGGAUCCUUUUCCACACCAGGUCCCCCUCAUGGAAUUCCCUGGGAUGAACCUUUGUUAUAGGCUCACAUCAACUGUUUUUGGUACAUCUGACCGUGGUGAAUAGCUUUUAGCCUUUUUCCUUCUAUUAGUUUAACUGAUCAUAUCGAGAUUGGAUCCAUUCUGCUUCAUCCAACUUUAACUCAGCCAAUACCCGGAGAGAAGGAAUUUCAACUUUAAUAGGUAAAAUUGCCUCCAUCCCGUAAACCAGAGAGAAAGGCGUUACCCCGGUGGAAGUCCUGAUUGAUAUUCAAUAAGCAAAGAGGGAAAAUGGUAAUUUCUCAUGCCAGUCUUUGUAAGUUUUAGUCAUUUUCUCCACAAUCUUCUUAAUAUUCUUAUUAGCUGCCUCUACCACACCAUUCAUUUUUGGGCGAUACAGUGACAAAUUAUGGUGUCUGAUUUUGAAUUGAUUACAGACCUUAGCUAUCGUGCUGUUGUUCAGAUUCAACGCAUUGCCCGAUAUAAUCCUUUCUGGCAUUUUAUACCAGCAUAUGAUCUUUUUUUUCGAGAAUUUGCUAACUUCUAACUUGGUGACAUUGGCGUAUAAAGUAGCUUCUAUCCGUUUGGUGAAAUAAUUAAUGACCUCAAAAAUAGAGCGAUGCCCAUUAGAAUCCUUCGAUGAUAUCCAUGCCCCACUGUACUCAAAAUUUGAGUUGCCCUUUUCGGGUUUUCAACUCAAACUCCUUUGGUCUUAAAGUACCCUUUGCGGGUUUUUGCUUUGGCCUCUCCUUUUUCUUUUCUUUGUCUUUUUUCUUUUCUUUUUCUUUUCUUUUUUCAUCUUUUUUUUAAAUGUUUUUUUAUUGGAUCUGAACUCAUAGGAUUAGGCAAGUCCUUGUUAUCCCUUUCAAUCAGAACCAAUGUUUUUCUAGAUAAAGUCUUCCACACAAGAUCCUUCCCAUAUUAACAUCCACUUUCAUAUGAAAUCCUUUUGUAUGUGAAGGAUCUUCUUUGAUAUCAGGUUUCUUUCAUAGAACUUUUUGGGGCGAAAUUAUUUUUGGCACAUUUGAUUAUGACGAAAAACUUUGGAUCUUGCUCUUCAAUCGGGAUAACAUCCAAACAAAAACUCGAAGAGAUGGAAACUCGACUUCAAUGGGAAAAGUUGUGAUAAGCCAAAGAGAAAGGCGUUGCCUCGGUAGAGAUUUUUUACUGAAUCGUUCAUGAUGUUAAUCUUGAACAUACUGUAAAUUUUUGAUAUCAUGCUGUUGUUCAAAAUUAAUGCAUUGUCAGAUUAUAAUGUUAGUGCUUAACCCGGGCAUAUCUUGGUAUGAUCAUGCGAAGACAUCUUUAAACUCUUGAAGUAGCUCAACAAGGUCUUGCCUCAUUUCUUUGAUUAUGCAUGUUCUAAUUUUUACUACUUUUCCCUCCUCCAAGGUCACAAUCUCCAUGAGGUAAAAUCUGUUUCUCUUCCUAUUCUACCAUCCUCAACAAGUCCGGAGAUAAGCCACAGUUUAUGUCAUCUUCAAAGUCAUGAGAUCCCUCUAAACAUAUGUCUUAUUUAAAAGGAAAUUUUGAGUUUGUAGCAGCGUCACUCAUGUUCUUGAUAUCCAGGGACCUAUUAUAGGUACCGAAUAAUAUACAAAGAAUGUAUGAUUUUAAGAAUAAUUAUCUGUACAGUAUAUUUACGAAUAAAAUGAAAGAAUAAUUUGGAAAAAAUCCAAAAAGAAUGAAAGAAUAUUUGCUCAAAAUGCAUGUAGAGAUGUAUUUCAUUAAAAUAAUGACGUUCAGACAUGAGCCUAUUUCACAAAGGAGUUCUUAUUGCCUCUAGGCUAAAAGAAACAAGUAUGUUCUAAACAUUACUCUGAGUAAGCUCUAAAAACUACAGAGAUUUCUUCCGCAGUUCAAUUGUUUAACACACUUCCCGAUUCAUAAGGGCGGAUAUCUAACAAGGUCCCUCCUUCAGUUGCUUCUUCGUAUAUAAUAUUGAUGUAAAUGUUUCUCAACAAUUCUUUAAUACUUUCUUCUCUUGGCAUUCUUUACUUUGGAUAAAUAAUCCCUCCCGAUACAAAAGUUUUCGAUAUAUGGGGGAAGUCAUAAGCUUCCAUUCGACCUCAUCCUCGCUCAAAUGUACUCUCCUCCUUUCCUAUUUUUUUCUUUAACUCCUUCCUUCUUUAAUUUGUAUCUAUUUUUGAAGUUGUUCAAGUCUUUCUAAUCUUUGGCCCAUGUCGAUGGUUUUUGCUCGGGUACCGAAACGGUAUUUGGUUGGUAAGUUGGUUUCCAGAUUGACUGAGGAAUGAUUUUAAUCAAUUAGGAUCUUUUAAUAGUCUUUAAUACAUAUGAUGUUAUGUAAUGCAUGAAAUGAAUGCAAAAAGGCACCAAUUCUAAUUCAAUUCCAUUUAGAAAACUUUACUAGAAAACAAAUUUAUUUACAUAAAAUUGGCUACAAAUAAGGCUUUGCCCCAAUGCUCAAAGCUUUAAUCUUCCUAAGUAAUGAAGCUAGUUCUUGCCCCCGAUCUGAUUCAAGUUCGUACUUCACACUCAGCGUAUCGGCUUGUAUUGCCAAAGUCUACAAGUGAUCAGCUACCUCUCGAAUCUGAACCACGGCUUCUCCCAUAAUGUAAUCCUUGUUACUAACUUGGUUCUGAAAAUAGUGAUGCUGUUCAUUCUGACACUCUUCACUUGCUUCAAGGAAUUCAAUCCUACUUUCACAAUUUUGUAGUGCCAUCUCUAAUUCUUCUCUUCUUCUUUUCAUCUCUUCAAUCUUGCUUAAGCUCCUCUCAGCUCCCUUGCAGAAUUAUGAUUUCGGUAUUGAUGAAGAGAUCUUUCCAAUUCAACCACUCUAGCCAUUAAUUCCCUUUUUUCAUUUCGACUUUCUGACAGUUUUUUCUCUAGGGUCUCAUUUUGCGUCUGGGCCUCCUGAAAUUUCUUUUCCCAUCUAUUAGCCUUGAUCUUUUCCUCUUGGAUUUCUUGAUGUCACUGUUUUAAAGUUUUCCCCAACCUAGUAGUUCUCAUUGAGAGACGCAACUUAUUAUAGUCUGUCUUCAAGUUAUCUAAAUCUUUCUAAGCCUUAUUCUUCCCUUUUCUUAACUUCUCAGUUUCUAGCUUUUGAAUAUCAAUGUCUAGUCUCAAAUUCAUCUUCUCUUCUUCCAUGUGGUCUAUCUUUUUUUCUAACUCUAAAUUUCUUCUAUCAAAAUCCUGCAUUAUAAUUUCUAGCUCGGAGGGGACAACUCGCAAGAGCUUUUCUAUUGGUUGAUUGUCUCUCUGACUUGGCCCAAGGAUAUUAUCAUUAAUUCUCCUACCCCACCACUCAAUAUAUUCAGGUGUCACCAUCGGUCCUACUACCAAUCUCUUCAUCCGUCGAGUCUGGUUCCAGGCAUUAGACAUCUCUCAAAUCUUCUUCUUGUAACCAUUGCCUUUAUAUGAGAAUUCGCACUAAACUAGUCCUUGGGUUGCGGGUACGAACUGGCUUGACCUAUACUGUCUUAGUACUAGCAAAGGUGCAUAACUAACAACUCCCCAAAUCCUAAGUAGAGGGACCUAGUCGAAAUCACCACAUCUAUAUAAGAUCUCAUCUGGAAGCAUCCAAGGAGCUCUCCAUUCGAUGUUAUUUUCUUGAAGAUUCUGAAGAAUUGCCAUCCAUUUUUCUUCUGAAAUAUCACCCUGAUAUACUUCCCCAGUUUAGCCGAAGCUUAACACAUCGAUUCGCGAUUAUGGUUUUACCUUUCUCGUGGAGAGAAAAGUAAUAAAAACCCAAUGAGUUUCUUUGAUUUUGGGUCUUUAAUAGGUACAAGCUCUAGAAAACUAUGAGCAAAGGUCCUUCAUUGCGGCAACAAUAAUCAAUCAAAUACACCACCAUAAUCCACUAAGAGAACCCACAAAGUUGACCUGGAGCAAUCUCGUACUCUUAGAGCAGAUGGCAGAAAAACGUAUCUAGGGGCAGAUGACACCCAACUUCCAAGAUGUGGAGGGGGAGCAAGAAACUGCCAUCACUGGUGUCGCUAACCUAUACGACCCAUCAAGACCCGAGAAUUCGUAAGCAAAGUUAGAGAUUUGAAUCCCUAUGCACACAAAGCUCGAUGCAUCUCUUCAUCUUUUGUAGUGCAGAUGAAAAGGUUGGCUUCAAUAAGGACCUUGGAAGUGCGCUCUCACGGUGGGCAACAUGGAAUUAACUGGCCAUGAGCUCCUCUCAUUCUCGACAUAUCUUUGAUGUAGAAAGAAGAAAAAAAGAUAGAGGAAAUUUAAAACCUAAGACAAGGAGUUACUGAGAUUUACUUUGAAGAAAAGCUUUGACUGAUUCUAGUAACAAAAAUGCUAAGUUUGUGCAUUUUAGGGUUUCAAAAAAAAUCCCUUUUUAAAGAACCCUCUUCCCCCACGUUUCGACAGUUUAAAUGAUCGAGGGACAUCAAUGGUCAGAUAUAUACAACCGCGAUUCACCUGUACACAUGGCGAAGCUGACACCAGAUUCCAAUAGACACUACGUAUUCUGCAAGCUAUAAUAAACGCAAAGUGAUGGCCCUAAAGAGCGCCACUUUAUAACCCUCCUUAGGCCUAUUAAGGGCAACCAGAUUGUUAUACACCAAUGAUCACCAACCUGAAACCCAUAGAACUGCCAGGGGAGCUCACAAUAUCAGCUCGCACGAGCCAAGGGGAGUUUGCGGUCUCAGUUCAGAUCAUAUCUAAGGAGUUUACAUGUAGGUGGUCGCGAGGUCUGGUAAGCGAGCUAGAAUGCUACAUGUGUCCAUCAGGCUUGAGGCCUAUUCAGAGCGUCAGUCCUAUGAAUAAUGGAGUCAAGUCCAUGAACAAUGGAGUCAAAUCAUAAACAGUAAUAGUAUGUAUAAAUACUCGAUUGUCCCCUUCAGUGGGACACAACACAGGAUUACUCAACAAAUAGUAUUGAGAAAUAAGGAUAAUUUAUGUUCAUCCCUUCAAAACUUUUAAAUAUUUUAAAUUAUAUUGUAAAAUAGAAAGCUUGAUAUUAUAGAUCAAGUAAAAUUAUUUUCAAAAACUCAUUAGAUAAUAUUAAUUCAAUUCUACCAAUAAGUGAAUGAAAGAAGUGAUACAAGACUUUUUCUUAAGUAUGUAUAUUGAGUUGUAAUAUUAAAGUCAUCAUUGUUGAAACAGGAGCGAAGGCAAAAAAAAAUUUUUGGGGGGACCGAAAUUAAAUUGUAAUUUUUACAAUAGUAAAAAUAUAAUUUUUAAAAAAUUAAAUCAAAAUUUUAUCAAUUUUAGGGGGACAAAGUGUAAUUUUACCUUUACUAAUUUAAAAUAUUAAAGGGCCAAAAUGAAAAAUUUUCUAUUUUAAGAGGGCCCGGGGUCCCUAGUAGCUCCCUAGAUUCACCCCUGAAAGAAUUUUACUCAAAUAUUACUUUUAGCUCAAACAAAAUUUAACUCAAACUAUACAAUAGAUGAAAAUAUUUGUGAUUAAAGUCAACUUUUAUUAAUUUUGUACUUUGUGCUAUAAUCAAUCAAGAGGUAUAUAGGUAGAUUUAUUUAGUUCUUAAGUUGUCGAUAAAGCUAGAAGGGAGGAAUUAGCAAAAGAGUACUGUUAGCCCCUUGCCCAAAAUAAUGGGCAUUAUCCUUAGCGAGUGAUAGCAAAGGUGAUUGCUCUUUACAACUUGAGAAGAAAUUUCCAAGAAUGUCACUUGACCCUUUCUGAUGACAAGAGAUUCCACAUUUUUAUUUAUAGCCAUUCAACAUAUAAGGUGAAUUAGUAUCACAAGUCUAAAAUUUAUUUAUGCUAUCAAUACAUGUGAGUAUUUCUAGAAAUUUGAGUGAAAUAUAUCACAUAAAAACUGAUUUUUAUGUAAUUUUCGUGACAAAACUGGUAUUGAGUUCAAUAAAAUAAAAUCUGCGAAUAGAGAAAACACUAGUAAUUUGUCUCAAGUAUUCCUUUUUGGAUCUUGAUUUAACCUGAACAAGAGCAGAUGAAAAUUUUCGUAGAUAAAAGCCGAAGACGAUAUUUUGAAGUAAAGGCUCAACUCAAUUUCCAAGUCAUAGUCUUUUGUGGAAAAGUAUUCUGAGUGGAAAAGUAUCCAGAAAAUGAUAGAAAAGGCUUUGGGCCACAAUUAAAUCAACAUAUGUAAAUUGUUAUACGAAAUUAAAGAUGGAAUCGUCAAUGUCAUGACAUCAACGUCUUAUUACUUUAUACUCUAAAGAAAAUUUUGUUAAUUAAUUACUACUUUAAUUAUCGACAAUAUUGCUAAUUAAUUUUAAGUUUGCACUUAGUACCCCUGCACCAUGUUCCGUUUCUACGACUAAUGAUUUUCCAAAGAAAAUUUUGAUUUAAGGAGAAAUUGCAAUUUCGGAUUCAAUUUAUAUAAGAAAAUUUCCUUUCUAAAAAAUUGAGAACACUAAAGCUUAAUCCAAAUUAAUUGCUAAGAAAAAUAGCAGCCAACAUGCAUUUGUUUCAUUGAAAAUUAAAACCAAGGAGGUAUCAUUUUCAAGAAAUAUGGACCAUAAGAAGAUUCUCCUUUUAUUAUAUACUAUUGAUACUAACAACAGAGAAAUUUUCAUAUGGCAACAAUUGCAACAACACCUUGACUGCUAUACAAAUCCAUCAGUUUGGAAACUAUAACGUAUAUGCUACUGCUAGAUAAACAGUUUAGAAAUAUCUGCUAAAGUCUUCUGCUCUACCAAACAUUAAAUGAAACAUGUUUAUCUAGGUAUAAAAGAAACAGUUUCUAAAAAUGACUACGCCAAAAAUGCCCAAACCAUUAUGAGGGUUUGAUUAUUUACAAUAAUCACCUCUUCUUAUUUCAUCUUCAGUGUUAGGGUCAACCUGAUUAGGUAAUAAACAAGUAAAAAUAGCAAAAGAAAUUGAAAAUUUUAACACAUAAAUUCAACAUGAAAAAAUCCGUCCAAAGAAAAUAAAAAACUAUGGGGAAAUAUAAUUUUACUAAAAUUGCAAAAGAACGAAAAGUAUAAAAGAUAGAGAUAGAAAUUAAACCCCGAAAACUCAUUAGAGAUUAGAAUUCAUAACACGUUUAAAGAAUUAUUUGUUUUCGGGUUUUCGAGGUUUAGUUUUUAUAUCUAUCUUUUGUACUCUUCGUUCUUUUGUUAUUAUAGUAAAUUUAACUUUACCUGUAAUUUUUAUCCUCUUGAGUUUUUUUAAAAUUAAAAUUGUGUGUUCAAUUUUUUAAUUUCUUUUACUUGUUCCUUACUUAAUUGGGUUGAUCCCCAACAUUUAGAUAUAAACAGAAGACCAAAAAGAGCUGUGGAUAAUUAGGGUUACUAUUCUUCCGAUUGAUGGUGCCCUUGGAUUUUGUAUCCCUGUUUGGAGGUCUUUUUAAUUAAUGAAUUCAUCGACUUAGCAAUAGAAAAAAAAAACAUAUCCAGAACUUGUGUUAGAAAUACCUUCAAGAGAUAAAAUAACAUUGUGUGAAACAAGUAUGAAUUCUUGGGCAACCACAAGACUCCACCAGUGUGACAAAUACAAAAGCUAAAGGCUAUCAAUCAAGAUAAAUUGUUUCAGGAGUGUUGGAAACUAGGAAGAUGAAUUUAACGGAAAAGUUACACUGUCGGUUGGAAUUCUCCUGGACAUUGAACUACUAGGAUUGGUAUCCCAUGAAUGGAUCAUGUCAUCUGUUUCAGAUUCUUCAUCACCACAGUCUUCAAUAACAGUUCCACCUGAAGCUUUAAUCAACUCCAGCUCCAUUACUACUUGUUUCAUGGUGGGUCUUUUCUUUCCAUUAAGAUUCAAGCAUCUUUUUGCUAGCAGAGCCACAACCAUAAUCUCCUGUUCUGAACCAUCCUUUACUACCAUUGGAUUGAGAAUGCUAAAUAAGGAAUUCUCCUGCAUUGAAUGCAAAAAAUAAGAUACCAAGCUUCUCACUUGUUCUGAUUGGUUUGCGGAGAUGGGUUUCUGUCCUGUUAAAAGCUCAAUAAGUACAACUCUGUUAAGUUUAGUUCCCAUGCAAAGGUGGCCAUGCACGACAUGCAAAGGUGGUCAUGCUUCUGGAAUCGCAGCAGGCAGUGGUGCCAUGGUGUGCAGCAAGCUGAAGCUAUCCAUUUAGUUUCCUUAAUUGAAUGUCUUGUAUUUAGUUAGGAUCAAACUUAGUUGGUAGCUGCAUUUUGAUGUAAUUAGGUGCUGAAUGACAAGUUUAGGUAGAAGCUUUUUGUUUUUCAAUCAAGUUUACCAAGUUCUAGGCAAUUUAGUGGUGUUAGGUAUGUUAUUAGGUGAUUACUUGUUUGUUUUACUUGUUGACUGAUAUAUGUAAUGGCUUAAUGCCUUGUUGGCUUGCUUAAUGAAAGAUAUCAGCUCAUUUUCAUUCAAUCUUUUUCUCUCUUUUUCUGUUUUCACUUGCUAGCUUCAUCUUUCUGUUUUUUCUGCUUCCGAGUUUGCUUCUUCACCAAGCCUCGAGGCUUACUACUCAAGCAAGACUAGAAACAGCUUGCUGCUGUCUCUUGCACCAACAAUUGGUAUCGAGAGCUCUUGUCUUAGUGGACCUGUUGCUUCAAAACAAAGAACUUGAUGGCUUCUUCAGGAUUUUCACCAGCAGCCCCACCAGUCUUCAAUGGAGAAGGCUUUCACAUAUGGCUGGUCAAGAUGAAGACUUACCUACAGGCCUUCGAUCUGUGGGAAGUUGUCAACACAGAUACUGAGCCAGCACCACUGAGGGCUAAUCCCACAGUAGCUCAGAUUAGGCAACAUGCUGAUGAGAGGACCAAAAGGCACAAAGCCAUGUCCUGCAUCCAGAACUGUGUGUCAGAUGUCAUCUUCACCAGAAUUAUGGCCUGUGAGACUCCAAAACAGGCCUGGGAUAAGCUCAAGGAGGAGUUUCAAGGCACUGAGAGAACAAGGCAACAGUAGCUGUUAAACUUGAGAAGGGAUUUCGAGAAUUUGAAGAUGAAGGAAGAAGAAACAGUGAAGCAGUACUCAGAUAGAAUUAUGGCAGUGGUUAACAGCAUAAGGCUCCUAGGUGAGCACUUUGAUGAGGCAAGAAUUGUGGAGAAAGUCCUCUCCACUUUGCCUGAGAGAUAUGAGGCCAAGAUAUCCUCUCUAGAGGACUCAAGAGACCUUGCUAGCAUCUCUUUGACUGAGCUAAUCAACACAUUUUAUGCUCAGGAACAAAGAAGAGCUAGCAGAGCUGAAGAUCACCAAGAAGGUGCAUUUCAAGCCAAGGCCAGAGAAACCUCGAGCACUAAUGCUCAAAGAGGCAAAAGGCCUUGGAAAAACAGGCCUAAGCCUGAUGCUGCAAGGAGCAAUGACCAGCCCUGCAGAUAUUGCAAGAAGCCUGGCCAUCCAGAAGACAGAUGCUGGUUUAGGCCAGAUGCAGUAUGCCAACACUGCAAGAAGAAGGGCCACGUUGAAAGGGUCUACAAAAACAGAAGUAAGCCAAGGCAGAAUCAAUUUCAACAGUCAAAGGUUGAAGCUCGAGUAGCUGAGGACAGUAGUGACCAAGAAGAACAGGUCUUUGCUGUUUCCUGUGUAGCUUCUGAGAAGAAAUGCUCUAAAGGCUGGUUGCUGGACAGUGGUUGCACUAACCACAUGUCACCAGAUGCCUCCUUGUUUAAAACCUUGGACAAAAGUUAUAAAACCAAGGUCAAGGUUGGAAAUGGUCAGUUUAUAAGGGCUGAAGGAAGAGGAGAAGUGCUGAUAUGUACUCCCACAGGCAACAAGAUCAUUCCAAAUGUGCUGUUGGUACCACAGAUUGACAGAAACCUUCUCAGCAUAGCUCAACUGCUCGAGAAAGGUUAUUCUGUUGUGUUCAAGGAUAAACAAUGCCAUAUUACUGAUCCAAGUGGAUCAAGCCUUAUGAUAGUCACAAUGACUGAUAAAUGUUUUGAGGUUCACUGGGCAAAUGACUCAAACUCAGCAUACACAGCCUCUGUUGAAGACUCCAAGCUUUGACAUCAAAGGCUUGGACAUGCCAACUUCAGAUCAAUAGCUCGAUUGGCCAAAGAGGGCUUGGCAGAGAACUUCAUCAGCUCAGUGGAGCAUGAUGAUGUGUGUGAAGUUUGCCAAAUGGGGAAACAGGCAAGACUGCCAUUUCCUACAAAUUCAACCUGGAGAGCUACUGAAAGACUGCAGCUGGUGCACUCUGAUGUAUGUGGCCCGAUGAGGACUGAAUCACUCAGCAAAAACAGGUAUUUCAUCCUCUUUAUUGAUGACCUUACAAGGUUUUGCUGGAUUUUCUUUUUAAAACACAAGUCUGAGGUAGCUCAAGUGUUUGUGAAGUUUAAAAAUGCUGUAGAAACAGAAACAGGUUGCAAGCUGAAAUCGAUAAGGACUGAUAAUGGCACUGAGUACACUUCAGCUCAGUUUCAAGCCAUUUGCAAUGAUGCUGGUAUCAAACAUCAGCUUACAAAUGUCUACACACCUCAGCAGAAUGGGGUAGCUGAAAGAAAGAAUAGAAGUCUGAUGGAUAUGGCCAGAUGUCUGCUGUUUGAGAAGAAACUGCCCAAGACCAUGUGGGCUGAGGCAGUAAACACUGCUGUUUACCUUCAGAACAGGCUUCCUACAAAAGCUCUUGCAUCCGAGACACCUUUCGAGGCUUGGUCUGGUUUCAAGCCUUCCUUAGCACAUCUGAAGGUGUUUGGUUGCCUGUGUUAUGCACAAAUACCAGCAGCAAAGAGAGACAAGCUCUCUAAAAGGGCUCAACCAGGUGUUCUAGUAGGCUACAGCUCAGUCAAGAAGGGCUACAGGGUUCUGGAUCCCUUGAUAAACAAAGUCCAGGUGAGUAGAGAUGUCAUCUUUGAUGAAAAAGCCUGCUGGAAUUGGGAGAAAAAUGAGCCAGAAGCAGUUUCAGAAGACCUAGUGCCUAACCAAGCUGAACUUGAGCAGCUAGGACCUGAAAUGGAUGUUGAUGAUGUGCCUGUGAGAGGCACAAGGCCCCUAGAUGAUAUUUAUGAAAGGGCACAGGUUACAAUAGCAGAACCUAGCAGCUUUGAAGAGGCUGAGGCAGAUGAAGGCUGGAAACUAGCUAUGAUCAAUGAAAUCAACAUGAUUGAAAAGAACCAGACAUGGGAGCUUGUUGAUAAACCUGCUAAAAAGAAGACCAUUGGAGUAAAAUGGGUCUAUCGAGUAAAACAGAAUGCAGAUGGCAGUCUGAACAAGCUAAAAGCCAGGCUUGUUGUCAAAGGAUUUAGCCAAAGGUAUGGUCUGGACUACCUGGAGACAUUUGCACCAGUAGCCAGGCUUGACACAGUUAGAAUGAUAGUUGCCUUGGCUGCUCAACAUCAGUGGACCAUUCAUCAGCUUGAUGUUAAGUCUGCAUUUCUUAAUGGCUUCCUAGAAGAAGAGAUCUACAUCGAGCAGCCUCAAGGAUUUGUGAUCACUGGCAAAGAACACAUGGUGUACAGACUGAAAAAGGCUUUAUAUGGCCUGAAACAAGCUCCUCGAGCCUGGUAUGCUCGAAUUGACUCUUACUUGCUCAGUUUGGAAUUUGAAAGAAGUCCCAGUGAACCAACACUGUAUGUGAAGAAGAACCAAGCUCAAACUCAGCUUAUUCUGUCACUCUAUGUUGAUGAUCUACUGAUAACUGGAGGAGAUGGAAGAAUGCUGGAAGAUUUCAAAAGAAAAAUGAUAGAAAUGUUUGAAAUGUCUGAUUUAGGCAGAAUGAACUACUUCCUUGGAAUGGAAGUGAACCAAACAGAAAAGGGAAUCUUUCUUUGUCAGAGUUCUUUUACUAUGAAGAUCCUGGACAAGUUCUCUAUGAAGAACUGCAAGCCAACAAGCACACCAAUGGCUGUUGGAGUGAAGCUUUCGAGGCAAGGGAGUGGUGAACCAAUUUGUGAGACCAUGUACAAGAGUCUCAUUGGCAGUCUGUUGUAUUUGACUGCCACAAGGCCCGAUAUCAUGUUUGCUGUUAGUAUGCUAUCAAGAUACAUGAAUUGCUGCAAUGAUCAGCACUUUCGAGCAGCUAAAAGAGUGCUGAGAUACAUCAAAGGCACCAUUGGUCAUGGUGUAUUGUUCAAAAGGGCCAAAAACAUGAAGUUAAUAGGCUAUGUUGAUAGUGACUGGGCUGGAUCAAGUGAUGACAUGAGAAGCACAUCCGGAUAUGCUUUCAGUCUUGGCUCAGGUAUGUUUUGCUGGAGUUCUAAGAAACAAAGUCUGGUGGCACAGUCAACAGCAGAAGCUGAAUAUGUUGCUGCUGCAUCUGCUGUGAACCAAGCCAUAUGGCUUAGAAAAAUCUUGACUGAUUUAAACCAAAACCAAAAGGAGGCAAUAGAGAUUUAUUGUGACAACAAAUCUGCUGUUGCAAUUGCAAAAAAUCCCAUUUUUCAUGGCAGAACCAAGCACUUCAAUAUUAAGUUGCAUGUUAUAAGGGAGAUGGAACAAGCUCAUGAAAUCGAGCUGAUUCAUUGCAAUUCAGAAGUCCAAAUUGCUGAUAUCUUCACAAAGGCACUCAAUGUGUCUAAAUUUGUUAAAUUCAAAAGGGAAUUAGGUGUUACUAGCAUGGAAACUAAGGAGGAGUGUUAAGUUUAGUUCCCAUGCAAAGGUGGCCAUGCACGACAUGCAAAGGUGGUCAUGCUUCUGGAAUCGCAGCAGGCAGUGGUGCCAUGGUGUGCAGCAAGCUGAAGCUAUCCAUUUAGUUUCCUUAAUUGAAUGUCUUGUAUUUAGUUAGGAUCAAACUUAGUUGGUAGCUGCAUUUUGAUGUAAUUAGGUGCUGAAUGACAAGUUUAGGUAGAAGCUUUUUGUUUUUCAAUCAAGUUUACCAAGUUCUAGGCAAUUUAGUGGUGUUAGGUAUGUUAUUAGGUGAUUACUUGUUUGUUUUACUUGUUGACUGAUAUAUGUAAUGGCUUAAUGCCUUGUUGGCUUGCUUAAUGAAAGAUAUCAGCUCAUUUUCAUUCAAUCUUUUUCUCUCUUUUUCUGUUUUCACUUGCUAGCUUCAUCUUUCUGUUUUUUCUGCUUCCGAGUUUGCUUCUUCACCAAGCCUCGAGGCUUACUACUCAAGCAAGACUAGAAACAGCUUGCUGCUGUCUCUUGCACCAACAAACUCCAAAGCUAUAAAUGUCACUCUUCUCUGUAAAUUGAUUUGUUCGAAAAUAUUCGGGAUCCAUGUAUCCAAAAGUUCCUUGCACCCGAGUGGUUAAAUGUGUCUGUUCAAGUGCAACUGAUCUUGAAGUUCCAAAAUCUGAUACUUUUGCCCUAUAUUUAUCAUCCAAAAGUAUGUUAUUAGAUUUGAUGUCUCGAUGAUAAAUAGGAGCAGAAGCAGCUGAAUGCAAAUAGAACAAGGCAUUGGCAAUUUCAAUCGCAAUUCGUAAACGCAUUUCCCAUGUCAAUGGUAAUUCUUCAUUUUGGUUAUGAAUGAGAUCGUAUAAUGUACCAUUUGGGAUGAACUCAUACACCAAUAGAGGAACUUCAGCCUCUAAACAACACCCUAAAAGCUUAACCACGUUCCUGUGAUUAAUUUGAGAUAAAAUUAUCACCUCGUUAAUGAACUGUUCAACCUUCUUUUCAUCAAAUUUCUUUCCUUCCACCAUUUUGGAUUUCUUAAUAGCCACAAUGCUUCCAUCUAUUAGCAUUCCUUUAUAAACAGUCCCUUGACCUCCUUGACCAAGGAUUCGGUUUUCAUUAUAAUGAUCCGUCGCCUUUUCCAUCUCUUUUGAAGUAAAUAACUUAAUUUUUUCAACAUUACCUUCAUUGCUAGACAAAUGUUGUUGCAGUAACAAACCUCCAUUCCUUUUGAAGUAUUUCUGCUUCAGCAUGAUUUUUUGUUUUCUUUCGAGGACUUUGUACACACUCCAUGUUGCGAGUAGUAGAAAUAGUGUCCCAAUACUAGUGCUGCAACCUAUAUAGAUAUAAGAAACAUAGAUAAAAGGUAAAUCUGAAAAUUAAAAUCAACAAUGAGAGAACCUUAUCGCACCAUCCAUUGUAUCGAUAUUCAACUCUUACAAAUUUAAUGAUAAAUAAUUGUUACUGCCUCACGCAUUCAAAAGUAAAUAUAACACACCUUGAAUUGACAUAAUCCAAUAACCAUAAUGAUUCCACUUUAAAAACAAAGUGUAAAUCAGCACGUACCUAUAAUAAUACUUGUCAAGUCAUGAGUAUUUUGAGUUUGUUUUUUGCGCUCACAACGAAAUCCCGUACUAUUAUAUUCAUAAUGAUUAGGAGGGCAAGACUCCGACGAGCUAUAGUUGGUAGGGGUAUUCAAACAAAGCAUGCUACAAUACUGAUAAUCCCCACAAUUCCCAUCUGUCAUUUAAGAAUUGAAUAAAAAAGAAAAAAGGUUAUAAUCAUAUUAUUCGGUUAAAGUAUUUGAGAGGUCUUUAUGCUAUAUAGAUCGGAUCAAAUUAGACAUUCUAUUAUUAAACGGAUCAAUUUAGUACUUAUAUUAUUAAAAAUAAUUAAAUAAGUUUAAAUUAUAAAAGAGUUAACCUUUACUGUAUAAAAAAUGUCUUGAUUUUUUUUUCAAAAUCUAUUCUACUUUAAACAAAAUAUUUCAUUUACCGAAUCAUAAAAACUUUAAAAAUAAUUAACUCUACUAAAAAAUAUAUGUUAAUUAUAUUUUAAUUUGGUCUUCUUUGAUUCUUUUUAAUAGUAUAAGGAUUAGAUUAAUUCAUUUAACAGUAGAGGGACUAAUUUGGUCAAAUUCCUAUAAUAGAGAGACUCUUAGAUGCUUCAUCCAUAUAAUGCAAUAGAUAUUAAGUAAUUAAUGCAUGCAGUGUAUACAUUUCUGGCACUAUAGAUGUUUAAGAAUUUUUUGCCAAUAAAAAUAUGCAUAAUUAUAUGCAAAAGUACAUUUUUUUUUAGAGAUUCACUUCAAUUGGUGUAAAAUUAAAUAUAUCAGUAUAAAAUUAAAGUUGUUUUACUCGCUUUCGUAUCUCUUUGUACGGUUAAUAUUUUGACAAUUCAACCGUUGAAUUUAAUAUUUUAUUCAUAUAAACCAUUCAUGUAAAAUUUGAUAUAAAUUAAAAAUUUCUAACUUUUUGUUUAAUAUAAAAAAUAUUCAACUGUUGAAUAUAUCUUAAUAUAUUGAGUAUUGUAGAUCAAUACGAUAGAAAUAUCAAAUCGGUUUAAAAAUUUUUAUGCAUGACAAGUACAAAUAUAACCAUAAAUUCAACAGUUGGAUUAUUAAAAUAUUAAUCGUAUAGGGGGAUACAAAAGGAUGUAAAACAACUUUCAUUUUAUACCGGUGUAAGUGGAUUACUCCCCAUAUUUUUUUUAUACACUUAUAUAUAUAUAUAUCGAAAUUUUACAUACUUCAUUAAAUUUGAUUUUGUAUCUUGAAUCUUGAACUAAUUAAUAUAUUUUAGUCAUGAUAUACCUCAACCAAUAAUAACUAAAUUAUGAUAUACAAACGAUGUAAUUGAAAAAAAAAACUUAUGUAACAAUUUAUUUUUAAAAAUUAUUGAUAUAUAAAAAAAGAGUCGAUUGAAAUGGUAAAGUUAACUAAUAGCUACUAAGGUGUCUUUGUUCAAAUUUUAGUAUACUCAUUUUUUUAGAUUUUAGAUAAAAUAUAAAAUGAUAAAAAUACUCUCAUAAUAAUAUUUGUUCUUUUAUAAAAGUAAUAGAUUUUCAUAAUUUUUCAACUGAGUCCAUACUGAGUUAAUGGGUGACACCAACUCAAAUAGCCCUUUAAAAAAUAAUAUUAAUUUAAGGUACACCCAUAAUGGGAUUGGAAAAAGUUAUGUAAUAGACAUAUUUAUUAAAAGCUUAUAUAAGAAUUAAAUGAAUCAGUUGUUGAAAUGAUAAAUGUUAAAGCUUAAAAUUUUUGAAAAUCUCACAAUCUUAAAUUUAUUAUCGAUUUUAUAUAAAAAUUUAAAAAGAUGUGAAUACCCUUAAUAUAAUGAAAUUUAAUUUGUUAAAUAAAAAAAGAUAAUAUAGAUAUAAAAAAAUUUCCUUAAAAAAAUUAAUUCAUACCUUUGCAUAACGUCGAAUAAAUGCGAAUAUCCCUAUCACACGCACAUAGAUGAGUAGAGCUCAACCUCGACCAGCAAUAUUCACCAUCGGAUGUACAAGAAAUGUUCGAACUAUCAUUCAAAUAGCAUUCUCCAAUUAAUGGUGUGCCCCAUUGCAGCUGUGUUGGGACAUGCGUCCUACUACUUAUAUCAGAAUCUUCUAAAUCAUAGUCAUCAGAAAUCAAGGAAGCAAAUCCGCAUGAUUUUUUCUUCCUAUAAUCACUAGAAUCAACCCUAUUACUCAUGUUUAUGUAGAAUGAACUGAGACCCUGAGGGAAAAAAGCAAGACAACUAGCAACAUGGGAAAUCUUGUUAUUAAUCCUACAACUUGGUUGCAAACAUCCGCCCAAAAGUUUAUCUGGUUCAUUGCCAAAAAUAGUAAUCAAAUUACCGCAACCUGAAGAACAAAAACUGUUGUCAGAAGUUGAGUAGGAAAAGCGGGUGCCAGUUAGGUUGAGACUCAUCCCAUUGUAAUGGUUCUUUCGACAGUUGAAGUAAGUUAUUGGAUGGUUGACCUUGAUGGUGCCGUCCAAAAAAUCAAAGUCCAGUAUUUGUAGAAUCAUGUCAUUUAUGUUUAAGAAAGGAACUUUUCCCCCGUUGGCGGUUUUGUUGCAAAUUACUUCAAACCAAUCGUCAGUUUCAUAAUCUUGGUCCUUCAUUCUAAAGGGGUAGUGAAAAGUAACAUUUCCGCAGUACCAUACCUUGUCGGUGUUGACGUUGAUAGGUCCUAGUCCUGGUCUUCCACAUACUGAGGAUUUAGCAAAAAAAGGAGUAAAUCGUAAAAUCCACUAAAUAUAUGUACAGGUGAGUAAAGCUCGAUUAGAUUUGAAAAUAUAAAAAAAAUUCAAAUUUCGAGUUAAUCAAAUUGAGUUAUUCAAAUUAUUAGAGUCAAUUCAAAUAAGUAAUUUGAGUUUCAAGUUCAAAUCGAGUUGAAUUUUACAAUUAGAAUAAUUCGAAUAACAAAUUGGUGUAUAUAUCCUUUACGCCACUAUUAAGUUUGAAAAUGAGCAAAUUGGCCUCUCUCAACAAAAAUUUUAAAAAAAUUCAAAAUAAUUUUUAAAUUUCAAAAUAUUUAUAAAAAUUCCAAAAUUUAUAUAUUUUAAAAAAUUAUAAGAAAUUCUAAAAAUAUAUAAAGAAAGUUAAAAAAGUAAAAAUUUUCUAGAAUAAUAAUUUUGGGACCUAAAUAAGUUAAUUAAUGAUUCAAGUUUAUCAUACUAAAGUAUUUUUUAUUUUGCUUUGAAAAAAUUUUCAAAUAUAUAUGGUUUCAAAUUUAUGUGCUUUAACAAGGACUUAGUUAUACUGUAACAAUAUUUUAAUUUGACAUGUUUAAUUUUUAAUUUAAAUCAAAAAAUUUCACUCGAUUCGGCUAGACUCAAAUUUCAUUUCACUCGACUUAAUUCGAAAAAUUUUUGAAUUAAGUAAAGAUAAUAAAAUAGGACUUGUCAACUCGAUUAACUCAAAUAUAUAUAUAACCAAUAUGAAUCCAGCGGUGUCCUUGAUCUCCCUAAUUAAGUGAACAAAUUAGUAAACUGCACCUUUCUGCCUCUUUCAAAAGAAUUAAUAGUUUAAUUCCAUUUAAGUCCUCUAACCCUUGAAUAAAUGUAAAAAUCACAUUUUUAACUCCUCUAAAAAAUAAUAAUUUAAUUUAAUUUAAUCUCAUUUAAGCAUUAAUUCAAGUUUUUGGAAUACAAAACUUUUAGUUAUAAAUUUUUGAAAGCCAAAAAUAUUAAUAUACAAAAUGAAUGAUCCUAAAAACUUUUUUUUAGAACUUAUAUGAUUCUAAAGACUGAUUUUAAACAAUUAGCAAAAUCUAUAUAUUAACUGAAUUAAGAGAAGAAGAAUAAAAGCCAAGCAAUUGAAGUGACAGCGCGUGACUGACCUCCGUCAUCGCAAUAGGUGGAAUUCCAGUUGAGCACGGCGGGAACUUGCGUAGUUCCAUUAUUGAUGCCAGUGGGUAAUGGGUAAGCACUACGGAAAGAGUACUUGCUAAAGAUGAAAGCAGAUGCGCAUCUUUUGCUGUCAGGAUACAUGGCUGUCAUGUUGACGGUAUAGGAAGUGAGAUUUGCAGUAAUUUGAGUAAAGCAGCCAGAUUCAGAAGCAUCAUCGUCACACCUUGGCUGAAUGCAGCCGCCAAGUGAAACAGCUUCGUUACUUAAAAUAGUAGCCGAAUUUCCGCAACCUACUGACCCGAAAUAAUUCCUCUUACUUGAGAAGAAAAAUGGAGUGCCUAAGAGAUUGACCCUCCCACUAACCUUGUUUAUACUGUCACAAUUAAUGUAAGUAACCGGAUUGUUGAUGAGAAUGGCGUUUGAAUAUAAGGCUUUUCCAAGUACCUCCAGAUCGAUGCCAUUUACGUUUAUGAAUGGCUUUACCCCAUUGAGGGUUGGGUUGCAAGUCACUCUAAACCAAGGUUCCGUAUAGCAGGUGCUAUGGAUUCCAAAAGGGGAUGGAAUUGUAAUAUUUCCACAUGCUUCUUUACCACAGGCAGGUUCUUGAGAUUCUGCUGCUUGUAAUAUUGGGCACAACAUGAAGAGGAGUAGGAGGAUGAGGUAAAGCGGUAAGUGAAAACCCAUUUGCGUUGUUAUUUUGUUUGAGGGAAAUGAAUGAAGAUUUAGAUAGGGUUACUGUAGAAGUCGGGUUUUAAAGAAACAAAAGCAGGGUUAAGUAGCACCACGAGAUUGUAAAUUAUAUUUGUUAAAGUAGCACCACUACUCUUUUUCUUUUUAAAAUUACCAUCACUACUACAUGUCAAAAUAAAUUAUAAUUUUUUACAUCUAAAUUUAGUAAUAUGAUAAAAAAAUAUCUUUAUUUAUUUAAAAAAAAUUUAAAUUCGUGCUUUUAUAUAUACUACUUGUUUCAAAUUUAUAUAGGGUUCACUUCUAUAAAUAUAUUCAUUUCUACCCCACCACGUCAAUCCAACGAGCCUCUUAUCCAUUCUUAUUCGAUCAUGAAAGAGGUAAGACAAAAUAAAAAUACUCACAUUAAAUUUAGAGAAAAUCAAAUUCGAUUUAAUAACUUCCAUAUCUAAUAUUUUACGGCUAAAUUAUAUUCCUUUCCUGCCCCAAUCAAGAAAUAGGACCAACUAUUGGACAAAUGUGUUACGAAGCAAAAUUUUCUUCCGUCAAUGUGCUGUCUCAUUUUGUAUCCCUACAAUCAUUUCUUGGCAAGUGUAUUAAAAUUACUUUUAAAAUAAAAUUUGAAAGUAAAGGUUCAAAAAAUAUAUAAAAUUUAAUAAUUUCCAACACUUGUAUCAAAUUGUAGAUAUAUUAUAUAAAUUACACUUUAUAAAUGAAUAAACAAAUAAAACUCCGAACAUCACAGAUUUAAUAAUAUACUGCACAUUUCCUAAAAAAAUAAUGUACUCCACAUGUUACAAUGCAUUUAAAUGUGAUAUUUCAAAAUCUGAUACUUCUUUACCACAGGUAGGUUCUUGAGAUUCUGCUGCUUGUAAUAUUGGGCACAAGAGGAAGAGGAGUAGGAGGAUGAAGUAAAGAAAACCCAUUUGCGUUGUUAUUUGGUUUGAGGGAAAUGAAUGAAGAUUUAAAGAAAGAAAGGAUGUUUGAGUGAGAAGCAAAUGAAAAGUAUUUGGUCACACUUUCCUUGAAGUUCCAGUAUAUGUGCAUUUGAUUUGAGAAUAAUUCAUUAAUUUGUAAAGAUUGUUGGAUACAAUUUUCCAGCUGCACGUAAGAGGUCUCCAGUGAAAGAGUAGGUUACGUAUAAAGAGUUAAGAGACAAAUAAAAGGGAGAGUCGAGCCUUAUAUUCCUUCAAAUAUUUUUACAAUAGCAUUAAGAAAUAAGGAUAAUUUAUGUUCCUCCCUCCAAAACUUUUAAAUAUUUCAAAUCAUAUUGUAAAAUAGAAAGCUUGAUAUUAUAGAUUAAAUAAAAUUAUUUUUAAAAUUUUAUUAGUUAAUAUUAAUUUAAUUAUAUUAACAAGUGGAUGAAAGAAGUGAUUAAAAAAAAACUUAAUUUAAAAUGAAUAAUCAAUUUCAAUUAAGUUUAUACAAUCCUAGUUGUCUAUAAAGCUAGAUAACAAAGAGUGAGCAUUAUCCUUAAUGAGUGAUAGCAAAGGUGAUUGUUCUUUACAACAACUUGAAAAAAAAUUCCGAGGAAUGUCACUUUUGACGCUGUUCCUAUGAUUAGAGGUUUCGCAUUUUUAUUUAUAGCCAUUCAACAUAGUUAGUAUCAUAAGUCUAAGAAUUAUUUAUGUUACCGAUAUAUGUGGGUAUUUUUGACAUUUAAGUGAAAAUCUCAAUAAACUCUCAAGUGAAGUUAUAUUUUAUAAUUUUUUCUAUUUUUUAAUAAUCAUUAGUAUUUUAUUUUUUUAUAUUUUUUUUAUAAAUUUAGGUAACUUUUACAUUUUUAAAAAAUAUUUUUAAUAAUUUGACAUGUCACACCAACAUGUUUUCACAUGGUAUUUCAUAUGCCAACUUCUCAUGACUUCGGUAAAUCAUGUAAACAACAUAUAAUAUUCAAAUUAAUCAAGAAUUUUUAUUUUUUACUGAGUUCUUUUUACCAUUUAAUUGUAUAUUAAUAUUUAUUACAUUAUUAAGAAUUGGUUUUUAUGUAAUUUUUCUGACAAAAUUCAAUAAUACAUUAUAUAAGCAUAGAUAUAACUUCAUUAAAAUCUGCGAAGAGUGAAAACGUUAUUAAUUUGUCUUGUAGCGACCUAAAAAUUUUUGGCGUUGGGCGCUAGUCGAAGUAGUUAUUGAAAACUUGAAAACCGAAUCUCGAUUUUAUUUGAAAAAGGGGAGUCGCCACCGAUCUUUUUUCUAGGUGUGAUCGGACACCUAAUAAAUUCUCUUUUUUUUUAAGAAAAAUUUAUUUUUUAAAUUUUUCUUAAAAAGAGGUAAUUUUUUGUCUACGUGAAAAUCCAGAGAAAAUUAGAGUUCGGGAGUCGGUUACGUGCGAGGAAGGUAUUAGCACCCUCGCGACGCCCAAAAUUGGUAUCUCGUUAAAUGCACGUUGUCUUCACUUUCAAAAAUGCGAGUUCAAUUUAAUAUUUAAUCGUGAUCCGAUUAAAACACGAGAAAUUUUUUUUUAAAACACGAGAAUUUUGGAAACACAAAUUUUUAAAAAAACGAAAAUUUAUGAAACACGAGAUUUUUUUUUUGAAAAAACGAAAAUUUUCAAAACACCAAAAUUUUUGAAAACACAAGGAUUUUUGAAAUACGAAAAAUUUGAAAACAAGAAAAUUUUUGAAAUACGAAAAUUUUAGAAACACGAAAAUUUAUAAAAUACGAAAAUUUUUGAAACACAGAAGUUUUUAGAAAACACGAAAAAUUUUUGGGGGGGACCGAAAUUAAAUUGUAAUUUUUACAAUAGUAAAAAUAUAAUUUUUAAAAAAUUAAAUCAAAAUUUUAUCAAUUUUAGGGGGACAAAGUGUAAUUUUACCUUUACUAAUUUAAAAUAUUAAAGGGCCAAAAUGAAAAAUUUUCUAUUUUAAGAGGGCCCGGGGUCCCUAGUAGCUCCCUAGAUUCACCCCUGAAAGAAUUUUACUCAAAUAUUACUUUUAGCUCAAACAAAAUUUAACUCAAACUAUACAAUAGAUGAAAAUAUUUGUGAUUAAAGUCAACUUUUAUUAAUUUUGUACUUUGUGUUAUAAUCAAUCAAGAGGUAUAUAGGUAGAUUUAUUUAGUUCUUAAGUUGUCGAUAAAGCUAGAAGGGAGGAAUUAGCAAAAGAGUGUUAGCCCCUUGCGCAAAAUAAUGGGCAUUAUCCUUAGCGAGUGAUAGCAAAGGUGAUUGUUCUUUACAACUUGAGAAGAAAUUUCCAAGAAUGUCACUCUUGACCCUUUCUGAUGAAAGGGUUAUAAUCGUAUUAUUCGGUUGUUAAAGUAUUUGAGAGGUCUUUAUGCUAUAUAGAUCGGAUCAAAUUAGACAUUCUAUUAUUAAAUGGAUCAAUUUAGUACUUAUAUUAUUAAAAAUAAUCAAAUAAGUUUAAAUUAUAAAAGAGUUAACUUUUACUGUAUAAAAAAUGUCUUGAAUUUUUAUUCAAAAUCUAUUCUAUUUUAAACAAAAUAUUUCAUUUACAAAACCAUAAAAACUUCAAAAAUAAUUAACUCUAUUAAAAAAUAUAUGUUAAUUAUAUUUUAAUUUAGUCUUCUUUAAUUCUUUUUAAUAGUAUAAGGAUUAGAUUAAUUCAUUUAAUAGUAGAGGGACUAAUUUGGUCAAAUUCCUAUAAUAGAGAGACUCUUAGAUGCUUCAUCCAUAUAAUGCAAUAGAUAUUAAGUAAUCAAUGCAGUGUAUACAUUUCUGGCACUAUAUAUGUUUAAGAAUUUUUUACCAAUAAAAAUAUGCAUAAUUAUAUGCAAAUGUACAUAUUUUUUUAGAGAUUCACUUUAAUUGGUGUAAAAUUAAAUACAUCAGUAUAAAAUUAAAGUUGUUUUACUCCCUUUCAUAUCUCUUUGUACAGUUAAUAUUUUGACAAUCCAACCGUUUGAAUUUAAUAUUUUAUUCAUAUAAAUCAUUCAUGUCAAAUUUGAUAUAAAUUAAAAUUUUCUAACUUUUUGUUUAAUGUAAAAAAUAUUCAACCGUUGAAUAUAUAUUAAUAUAUUGAGUAUUGUAGAUCAAUAUGAUAGAAAUAUCAAAUUGGUUUAAAAAUUUACAUGCAUGACAAGUACAAAUAUAACCAUCACUACACCAAAACAGGCUUUUAGUGGCAUCUUUUGUGGCGUUUGGACGACAAACGCCGCUAAAGAUCUAGCAUUAGCGGCGCUCAGAAUAAAAUGCCGCUAAAGAUCUAGCAUUAGCGGCGCAUUAUAUAAAGCGCCACAAAAUAUCUUACCAAAACGCAGCGUACGAUCUUAAGGUAUAUUAGAAUUAGUGGCGCUUACGCAAAAACGCCGCUAAAGCUUAGUAUUAGCAGCGCAUCGUCAAAGUGUUGGAUCGUCGGCACCUCUAUGGCGCAGCGAAAAAUAAUGAUCCGGCGAUCCUAACCAGGGAUCCAUGUGUGAGGAACGAAUCGGAGUGAAAGAGGUUGCGAAAUUACCUAAUGUUUAUUCAGAGUAGACAGCAACACCUAACAACGAGUAGUCUGAUCUGCUGUCGAACCAAACCGCAAUCUAUCGUGAUCCCGGCCUCUACGUAAUCCACCUAGUUGACUACGAAUGGAAGGAAUCCCCAAAACAAUUUUGAGAGUUAUUUUUCUUUGACGGCUGCUAGACUCAAACAAAGAAAAACGGGAUUAUAUAUAUAUCCUUUUGUUUUAGGGUUUUUAAGAAUUAAAUAAAUAUAAUAAUAUUUUAAACCGAAAAUCAUAAUUACAUUAAUUAUAAUAUAAGUUCGGUAAACCAUAUAUUUAUUUGAAUUCUUAUGCUAACCAAAUUCAUGUCCUCACUAUACGUACAACAACCUUGUACAUAAUGUGCUGGAAAUUUGAUUACCGAAUUAAAUUAAUUCUAUAAUUAAUUUAAUUCAAGUGACCCCAAAAACAAUACCAACUAUGGUUUAUUCCGUUCAUUUCAACUAUAGGGUGUGACCCUGUAGGUUCUUGUAACGUUAGCAGUAACACUAGAACGAUUCUAAUGCGACGAACAAUGAGUGGCAUCUAGCAAUGCAUCAUUGCUACCUAAGUCACAAGAGAUCAUGAUUCGACAUAACCUUUUUAUGAUUAACCUUUUAUGCAAUAAUCCUUAAGUCCUUUAUCUCUGGAUUGGACACAAGUCAUGGAAUAGUCACCCUUGCAUUGUCCAUUCCAUGUUCCUUGAUAUCUUAAGCAGACUACGAUAUACAAAUAAGUAUGACAUCUAAUAUCAACUUAUUUGAGCACGGCCAUGCAUUUCUAGUCUCACUUAAUCAAGUGGCCUAAGAUAUUACUCCCAUUAUGUAGGAGGGACUUAUCCUAUAUCGACCAACCAUAUCCCUCUACAUAGAUUGUGGUAUAUCCAACAUCAGUCUUUAUAGAACAACCAGUUACGGUGCACGUUUGACUGUAUCAAAAUAUACAACUUACGAUGUUGGGAUUAUGAUGAUCUCAAGUCUGAGGAUCAUAUAAAUAUUAAUCAUUAUGAGUAAUGUCGUGACAAUUACAUAAUAAUCCAAGAAACAUACUCAUAACGGGUCAGUCCAAUAUGUUGUUCUCUAACACACAUAUUCAUGUAAUGAUUCUAACAUUCCGUAUCAAUGACAACUCUUUAUCAUCAAUCAACUACACGUUAGUCUUAAUGCAUUAUCGUUGUCCUAUCCAACAAUAAUACUUGACUAAGGAACUUUUAAGAAUAAUCAUACUAUUCUCAGGACAUUAUUAUAAAACAGUUUAUUUAUAUACACAGAAAAGAAACUGAAAUAAUAAUGGUAACACCUUAUAUUAAUAAACAUGAUAAAUCAAGUAUGUUAUUACAACCAUCUCAUGAUUGAUCUUUGGGCAUACUCUAACAAAAAGCACCGCAAAAAAGAUGAAGCCAACGACGCCGUUUUCUGAGUUUCUGGGAGUGUAGCGGCGUUUUCUGAAAAUCGUUGCUAAUGCUCUUGACUUUAGCAGCAUUUUUUGAAAAGCGUCGCAAAAAAGCUAAGGCCAACGACGCCGUUUUCUGAGUUUCUGCGCGUGUAGCGGCAUUUUUUGAAAAUCGUCGCUAAUGCUCUUUGCCUUUAGCUACGUUUUCUGAAAAGCGCCGCAAAAAACCUAAAGCCAACGACGCCGUUUUCUUUGUUUUUGGGCCUUUAGCAGCGUUUUUAUAAAAGCGCCGCUAAUGCUCCGGCCUUUAGCGGCGUUUUUGAGGAAGUGCCGCUAAUUGUAAUAAAAAACCAUUCCAAUUAUCUCUUUCUUUGAUAUAUUUUUUUGUUAUAAGAUAUAGAAUAUUUCGUUGUAUUUAUUAUAUAUUGGUCAAAUUUACAUUUAAAUGAAAACAAAUAAUAUUAAUAUGAUAAUAUGCAUGGGACAUGGCUAUAUAUAUAGCUUCCUAAAAUGAUGUGGAGGGGGCACCAAACUCUAAUAAAUUUGUAGUCCAUGCCCCAGUAGAAUAGGUUGAAACAUCUUUUUCUCUGGAUAGUGAUAUGCAAGUGAGAUGCUUAGGGGUUAGGGGUUUAGGGGUUAGACGUUAGGGUUUAAGACUUAAGGUUUAAGGGUUUAGGGGUCGGGUUAGGGUUUAGGGUCUAGAUUAAUUUUUUUAAUUUAUAUUUUAAAUAUAUUCUUAUGUAAUUGUAAAAGAGAUAAUAAUAAAUUUAAUAAACUGAAAUUAUGAGUAUAGUUGAAAUUAUGGCUUAAGAGAUAUAUAAUAUAUGUUAUAUUUAAUUAUUGACAUUCAUACCAUUUGAUAUUAUAAGAAUCUAAAAUAUUUGUUUUGUACUACAGUAAUAUUACGAUUUGGGAUUUUUGGUUUUUGAAUUUGGGGUUUAGUUUUUAAACUUAAGGGUUUGGGGUUUGGGAUUAGGGAUUAGGGUUUUGAGUUUGGGGUUUAGUGUUCGGGGUUAGGGGUUUAGGGGUUUGGGGUUUAAGGAUAAUUUAUGGUAUAAUAUUUGAUAUUGGGGUUUGGUUUAUGGUUGUUUGUAGUUUCUGGGUUACGGGUACAGUGUUACGGCUAACGGGUAACGGGUUAUGAGUUUUAGGGUUUAAAUGUGGAUAUUUUAUAAUAUAAUUCGAAUUAAAUUAAAUUUAAAUUAUCAAUUUAAUAAAUAUAUAUAUAUGAAAAAGGAUUAAAUCCGAGAAGCGUACAUUAAGGAUGGUUUCAUGUUAAAUUGAAUUCAUGAACUUUAAUGUUAAAUUGUAUUCAUGAAAACGACGUUGUUUCUAGUGGAUUUGCAUUAGAAUUAGCGGCGCUAAACAGAAAACGCAGCAAUAGAUGAAAUAAUACCGGCGUUUUUAUGAAAACGCCACAAAAUACUGAAGGAAACGGUGCCGUUUGCUUAUUACAUUUAGUGGCGUUUUACAUAAAAUGCCGCAAGUAUGUUUUCUUUGUUAAGGAAACUGCAUCGUUUUCCAUUGUUAUUAGUGGCGCUACACCCAAGACGCCGCGAAUAUAUUUUAAAAUUUACAGGAGUUUGAGUUAAACGACUGCGUUUGACCUUAUAUUUAGUGGCGCUUGAGUAUAAACGCCGCAAAAAUCCAAAUGGUGUUACGAGAAACGGCGCCGUUUACAUAGUUGCUUUUAGUGGCGCUUCUAAUAAACGCUGCAAAUAUGCAUUAUAACUUAAGGAAACUUCGUCAUUUUCCAUUGUUAUUAGUGGUGCUACACCCAAGAUGCCACAAAUAUAUUUUAAAAUUUACAGGAGUUUGAGUUAAACGACUGCUUUUGACCUUAUAUUUAGUGGCACUUGUGUAUAAACGCCGCAAAUAUCCAAAUGGUAUUACAAGAAACGGCGCCGUUUACAUAGUUGCUUUUAGUGGCGCUUCUCAUAAACGCCGCAAAGAUGCAUUAUAACUUAAGGAAACUGCGUAGUUUUCCAUUGUUAUUAGUGGCGCUUGCUUAAAAUGCCGCAACUUGGUUUUAAUUUUAGUACAAACGAUGUCGUUUUGUAUAUAUUAUUCGUGGCGUUUUUUCUAAAACGCCAAGAGGUUUUGGUUACUUGAUGGGGAAACGACUGCGUUUGGCGAUAUGUUAGUGGCGUUUUUAUAUAAACGCCGCAAAUGGGUUAAAUAUUUUGACGAAAACGGCGUCGUUUUUUUUCCAUCCUUUUGACCGAAACAAAACCAAACCCCGAUUCCCCCCCCCAAACUCUCAUCUCCCCCAAAUCACUAAAAUUUCCCCUAAUCCCUAACAGUUCCCCAAACCCAACGUAGUCCUGUACGGCGCCAUUUGCUUUACUGCAUCACAGCCUCCGUGCGUCUCCGGUACCGCAACCAUCGGUAAGUUCGGCAACUUCCUUUUUCUUCUUCAUGCGUGAAUGUUAUCUGGAAUACCGAUUUUGAACAAAAAAAUCCAUUUCGGUUGUUUCGAUAAUGUCGUGAAUUUGGGGCUUCCGAACAUUUGGUUUUUUUUUUUCAUUUUCAGAAAACGUUAUAGGUUGAGAACUUUAAAUAAAAAAUCAGUUUUAUAUAUCGACAUUUAACCAAAAAAAAAACAAUUCAAGUUACAUUUUAAUCAAAAUUAGAAAUUUCGAAAUCUUUAAAAUAAUGAACCUGAACCACAACACUGUUUUAAAUUGAUAAAUAUUUUGAGAUACCCAAAUGUUUUUGAGACUUUAAUCGAAAAGGUAAAAAAGCAAUGAUGAGUUUGAUAUGAAUUAAAGAAAAAGCAUAUAAUAUAUUUGAAGUCAAAGUUUUCAAUUCCCUGUUCAAACUUAUAAUGUUUGAUUAAUGUAGAAGACAUUAUUAUAAGUCAUGCUUGACUCAUGUAUUUCUUUGUAAUUUUAUUUAUUUAUUAUUUGACAGGGUGAACCACACCUCAUGUUCAUCUUGUUUUCCUUUGUUCAUUUUCAUUUUUAAAAAUCUUCAAAAUGGAAUUAAACCCAAAAGCUGGGGCAUGAUCUGUAAAUGUAUUAGAUAUUCAGAAUCUGAAAAUCAUUUUUAAUUUCAACCAGAAUAUUGUACACAAAAUACAUGCAGAACAUUGGCACAUGUUAUCUGCAUAUGUUACCUUAUUUGAAGGAAUAAACUAAACCCAAUUUGCAAUUCAAGAGGCCAAAAAGCUAAUCUCUAACGUGAAUUCAAUCUCUAAUUAAUUUCUCAAAAUCUGCUUUAUUUAUCUGUCGUCUGCAGUUAAUCUAAUUUAACAUUCUUAUAUGUCGAUGUGGUAUAUAUCUAGAAUAGUCAACAUUGGUUAGCAUUCAGCAAAAGGAUGCCCCGAGGGACUUGACGAAGGGAAUUUUAACUUUGAAUGUGAAUUAGUCAACCAUAUAAAAUAUAUUUUGUUUUCCUAUCGGUCAGGCUCUUGAGUUUUUUCAGUCAUCUUUAGCUAAGAUAUUGUGGAAAACAAGGGAAAUUAAAUAACUUUUAAGUAUGCAGGAAAAGUUUACCACAAUCCUCCUAUUUGUGACCGUCACUACUCACUACAUGAGUUUUAAAAUAACAUUAAUUCCAUGAUUUCUUUGACCAUUUUACCAUAUAUUUUCCGCUACCUCUAUUUCCUUUGUCCUACCGUUCAACAUGUUCUGUUUCUACUCCUUAACAAUGAGUCUCUUUCUCUUUACUCAUCCUCUUCUUUUGGUGCUUCAACUAUUCCUCCCUAUCUUCAUCUUAGGACUCUUUGCCCUUAUUGGAUGAACAUUUGCUGCCUGUGUUUUGGCCGAACAAUUGUUUGGGCAGGUACAUGUUAAAAUUUGACAGUUUUUCCCUUAUUUAUAUGCAUUUUCCCAAAUUACUUAACAAAAUAAAUGUUUCUGACUGCAGUCUCUCUUUGCUGGUGAGAGUGAAGUAGACAAAGUUGAGUGAAAUAUUAAGGUAUGUUUUAGUUCAUAACUUAAAUCAAUAAUAGUUUUAUCAUGAUGAUUUUUGAAAAAUGUUUCUUUUGGGGCUCUGGUUUUGUAUAUAUGUAAUUGGUUUUGGUUGUUUUCCUUUAGCUUAUGUUUCAUUUUACUUAUUUUACAAUUGCCAUGUACUUUUCUGACUUAUGUUUUCUGUUAUCAUCCAUCAACGAUUGCUAUAUAUGUUGAGCAAAAUAGAAGCAAUUUAAUAAAUUGUACUGGGAAUUGGAUUAAAUUUUUUUAUUUUAAAAUUAUUCGAAAUUUCUUAACUAUAUGUUACAUUAAAUAACAAAUUAAUCCACUUUCUUUUCACAUUUAAGUUUCAUUGAUAUCAAAUAUGCUUAAUUGUUGUAUACAUAUUAUUCCAUAUCGCAAGUAAAUUAUUUUGAAAAUAAAGGUUAUUUAUGUCUAAAUAAUAUAAACAUUUGGUUAAAAGCCUGUAUAGUUUGCAAAUAUUUAUAUGUUUUCCUCCAAAAUUUUUUUUCCUUUAGUUGCUAUUUUAAUCACGGAAAUUUAGUUUGUUUUGUUUUCUUUUAUUUAAUUUGAAUCAUGGAAAAAAAUUUCAAACUUUUAAUUUAUUUUUAGGUUUAAUUUUAGAUGACUUACAGAAAUUUAGUUAAAACUUACAUAACAUACAUAAUUUAAUUCAAAGUUAUUUUUUAUUUGUUUUAAAGUUAAAAUUCACAUAACAUACAUAAAUUAAAGUUAAAAUUUCUAAACUUUUGUAAAUGGUAUAACUUACUUAAUACAAAACUUAUAUAAUAUUAAGAUCAAAUUUCAAAACUUGCAAAAUCUUACGAUCAGAUUUCAUAAUUUAUGUAUUUUAUGUAACUUACAUAAUAUAUAACUUACAUAGCUUAAGUAACAGUAAUUUCAGAUCUACUUUCACAACUUACAUAGAUUUUAGCAGGACACUUCAUAACUUAUAUAAUAUUAAGAUAAAAUUUCUAAUUACAUAACUUAUAUAAUAUUACAUAACUUAUAUAAUAUUAAGAUAAAAUUUCGAAUUACAUAAUUUAUAUAAUAUUAAGAUUACUUAUAUAAUAUUAAGAUAAAAUUGAUAAUUACAUAACUCGUUUAAUAUUAAGAUAACUUAUAUAAUAUUAAGAUAAAAUUUCUAAUUACAUAACUCGUUUAAUAUUAAUUUCUAAUUUGUAAGUACACAUCAAUUUCUCAUUUGAUAACUUAUACAAUAUUAAGAUAAAAUUUCGAAUUACAUAACUUAUAUAAUAUUAAGAUUAAUUAUAUAAUAUUAAGAUCAAAUUUCUAAUUACAUAACUCGUUUAAUAUUAAGAUAACUUAUAUAAUAUUAAGAUAAAAUUUCUAAUUACAUAACUCGUUUAAUAUUAAUUUCUAAUUUGUAAGUACACAUCAAUUUCUCAUUUUAGGUAACUUAUACAAUAUUAAGAUAAAAUUUCGAAUUACAUAACUUAUAUAAUAUUAAGAUUACUUAUAUAAUAUUAAGAUCAAAUUUCUAAUUACAUAACUUAUAUAAUAUUAAGAUUACUUAUAUAAUAUUAAGAUAAAAUUUCUAAUUACAUAACUCGAUUAAUAUUAAGAUAACUUAUAUAAUAUUAAGAUAAAAUUUCUAAUUCCGUAACCUAAUAUAUAAAUUACAUAACUUACAUAACUUACAUAAAUUAAAUAACUUACAUAACUUAAAUAACUUACAUAAUACGUAACCUUCCUAACUUACAUUAUUUAGAUAAUACAUAGCCUACAUAACUUACAAAACUUACAUAAAUUAAAUAACUUCCAUAACUUACAUAACUCACAUAAUACACAACUUACAUAACUUACAUAAAACAUAACUUAUUACAUAACUUACAUAAUACAUAAAAAUAUAUCAUAUCAUAAGUUACAUAACUCAUUUAUAGUUAUAUCUGGCAUUUUAACUUACCCGUGCAAAUUAUUGUCAACGUGACUUCAAUAAUUUAGAAAUGGACCGGUCUUGGAUGAAUUUGUCAAGGGUAAGCAACGGCUAUCGAAAUGGAGUACAGACGUUUCUAAAUUUUGCAUUUCAAUACGCAAGCCAAGAGAACAUGAUUCUUUGCCCCUGUAAGAAUUGUGUCAACAUAAACUGGCAUUAUCGUGAGGUUGUAUAUGAGUAUCUAAUUGUUGAUGGGUUUGUUCGGGGUUAUAAACAAUGGUUAUUUCAUGGAGAAUGCCCGCAUAGUACUUCCUCUUCAAUGAUGGAUGUAACUUAUCCUGAUACUGCUUACCAUCAGUCUGAUAGAGGGGAUGACAUGGAAGGGAUGUUGCGGGAUGCAUUUAAUAUGCACAAUCAUGGUGUCCAGUUUUCCUAGCUGACUUGUGGCAUCUGAUGAUUGUAAUCUCGGUGGAAAUGCUUUUACCGAACCGGGAAGAAGUGUUCCUCAUGAAGAGCCGAAUGGAGAAGCGAAAAAGUUCUACGCGCUACUUAAUGACAUGAAUGAAGAACUGUAUGAGGGAUCAAAAUCCUCAAAAAUGUCUUUUUGUAUUCAUCUUUUUCAGUUAAAAUGUUUGGGAGGGUGGACCGGGAACUCUUUGACAAUGCUGUUAGAGUUUUUGAGAGAAAUGUUUCCGUUUGCAAAAAUCCCUCAGUCGUGCAAAGAUAUGAAGAAAAUGAUUAAAGAUUUAGGCCUUGGGUAUAACAAAAUCCAUAGUUGCCCAAAUGACUGCAUGUUGUAUUGGGGCGAUCGGAGAAACCAACAGUGCUGUCAUGUAUACGGCCACUCCCAUUGGAUAAGUAGAAACACAGAAGAUGGGAACGGCGAUGAAAAUGAUGCACAAUCAAGGAAGAAGCCAGUCAAGAUUUUGCGGUAUUUUUCGUUGAUACUAAGGCUUCAAAGGCUUUUCAUGUCGUCAAAGACAGCAGAGUCAAAGACGUGGCACCAUGAUGGACGAACCGAUGAUGGAUUACUAAAGCAUCCGGCAGAUUCUUUAGCUUGGAAAUCAUUUGACAAUAAAUUUCCAAGCUUUGCAAGCGAUCCUAGGGGUGUGAGGCUUGGGCUAGCAUCUGAUGGAUUUAAUCCUUUCAAGAUCAUGAGCACUGCCUACAGUACUUGGCCAGUAGUGCUUGUUCCUUACAAUCUGCCUCCGCGGAUUUGCAUGAAGCAAUCUUCCCUUAUCUUAUCUAUGAUUAUCCCUAGAGAGAAAGGGCCCGGGAAUGAUAUCGACAUUUAUUUACAGCCACUUAUUGAAGAGUUAAAACAAUUAUGGGCAGGUGUCGAGACAUACGAUGUGCUGAGAAAGGAGAACUUUAAUUUACGUACAGCUUUGAUGUGGACCAUUAAUGACUUUCCCGCUUAUGCCAAUUUAUCCGGUUGGAGUACCAAGGGUCGUUAUGCAUGUCCUUGUUGUGCUACACAAACAUGUUCGCAAUGGUUGUACAAUGGGAAGAAGUUCUCUUACAUGGGGCAUCGUCAGUGGUUACCGAAAAAUCAUAGAUUUAGAUUUCAGAGUUCUGUAUUUGACGGUACUGAAGAGUUCGGAGAAGCUCAUUCGCAGACCAGUGGCUCUGACAUCUUGUUCAUGUUGGAAGAUAUGAAUUUCAUUUAUGGGAAGAUGAACUAACCGCCAAACACAGAAAGAAAUAGAAGAUCAAAUGAUGAAGCUGAGGAUGACUCUAAUGAAGAGGACAAUCCUAAUGAAGGGGACUUGUGGAAAAAAAGAAGUAUUUUUUUGAGUUGCCUUAUUGGGAGCAUCACCUUUUACGACACAAUCUUGAUGUUAUGCACAUUGAGAAAAAUGUCUGCGAGAACAUUGUGGGUAUAAUUUUGAAUGUCGACGGAAAAUCAAAAGACAAUCUUCAGAGUCAACUUGAUUUAGUCCAAAUGGGAAUCCGACCUGAUCUUCAUCCCAAUCCACUUCCGAAUGGGAAAUAUCGCUUGCCGCCUUCUAUUUUGUCAAUGUCGAAGACGAAAAAAGAAGUGUUCUUCACGGUGUUGAAGGAUAUAAAGGUUCCAGAUGCGUAUGCAUCAAAUAUAUCUCGAUGUGUUACUGUUAAAGAUCGAAGAUUAUAUUCGCUAAAAUCACAUGACUAUCACAUCUUGAUGCAAGAUUUACUGCCAGUUGUUCUACGAUGUUGUAUGUCCAAGAAGGUGACAUCUUGUAUAAUUGAACUAUCCAAUAUAAUGAAAGCCAUUUGUGGCAAAGUUUUGGAUGUUCAAGAACUUCAGAAGGUACAGGAUCAAGCCGCUUUAACUUUAUGCAACAUGGAAAAAUUCUUCCCACCUUCCUUCUUCACCAUUAUGGUUCACUUGAUAAUCCAUCUCCCGUAUGAAGCAAUUCUUGGCGGACCCGUUUUCUAUCGAUGGAUGUAUCCCAUAGAAAGGUGUUAAUUAAAAUUUUUAAAAUUUUCCUUCAUUCACCUCUAUGCCUUUAGUUACAACUUUUGAUAAUAUUGUAUAUUGUGUUUAGGUUCCUAUCCAAAUUAAAGUCUUACUGCCAAAACAAGCGAUAUCCAGAAGGAUCGAUUACUGAAGGCUACUUGGCAGAGGAAUGUAUGACCUUCUGCUCAAGAUAUUUGGAAGAUGUUGAAACAAGGUUGAAUAGACCAAAUAGGAAUGCUAGACUCACGGACCAUAACUUCGUCGAUACUUAUAUGUUCCAAAGUUUUGGAGAACCAAUGGGCAAAGUUGAAAUUACAGAAUUAGAUCAUUUAUCGUGGGUACAAACACAUCGAUAUGUUCUGUUUCACCACGAAUGAAUGGAACCUUUAUGGAAGUAAGUUCUACUAAUUUGAUAAAUAUUUAUCAAACUAAAAAUUGUUUAUCUUCUAACAAAGUGAACAUUUUUUUAACAUAGUUAGUACAAAAAAAUAUUGAGAUCUCGUUCUCGCUCCCGAAGAACACAACAUCGAGAUAUCAAUAAGUUGUUUAUAGAAUAUUUUCAUGAAUGGUUAAGCCAAACGGUAUGCAGUUGGAGCUUCCGCUUACAAAUAAUAAUGUUUUCUCAUAACAUUUUUAAUUACUCAGUUUACUUUCCAUUCAACAGGUUUGGAGUGGGAAGAACGUAAACGACGAAGUUAAAUGGCUCUCCCAAGGUCCAAAUCGAGUGGUUAAAAGAUAUAGUGUGUUCCUCAUCAACGGAUUCAGAUUUCAUACAAAAUAUCGCGAAAGGUUAAGGAGAACGCAAAAUUGUGGAAUAGUUGUUAAUUCCUCAAUUACAAGUUAUGCUAUUGCUAGGGACAAUAAUCUUGUCGAGGGAAAUGUGGAAUAUUUCAGACUUCUUACUGACAUAAUUGAGUUGGAUUACUAUGGCAAAUGGAAAGUUGUCUUAUUUCGAGGUGAUUGGGCCGAUGUUAAUACUGCUCGUGGAAUUAAGCAAGAUCAAUUUGGUUUUACAAUGGUGAACUUCGCCCGAUUGAUUCAUACAGGACAACAACUGAUAGAUGAGUCGUAUGUAUUCUUAUCUCAAGUAAAACAAGUUUUUUACUCAAAAGAUCCAACUGAUGAGGGUUGGUACGUUGUACUCCGUAACAUCCCUAGAGACUUGUUUGAUAUGGGUUGUGGAAGUAGAGAUAACAUCGACGACAGAUCAGAAACUUUACCCUUUCCAGAACAAAACUUAAACGAUAAUAUCCCUAGUACUAGUGCACAAUUUCAAUGGGUUCGUCAGGAUACGGAUGAAGAUAUUUACGAAUAAUGAUGUAGUAAGAUUUUUCGAUUAUUUAAUUAUAUGUAAUAUCAUAAUUUAAUUCUUGGUCUUAUUAUAUAUUUCAACUAUUUUAUAUGUGCUGUUAUUGUUGUAAUUAGUUAUUAAGUUUUCUACUAUUUUAUGUGUAUUGCAGAUAAAAUUCCUAGAAGAAAAAUUCUAAGGGGAAGCAUUGUUCAAAAUGAUCCAAACUCGACAGAAACAAAUAAUACUGAACAACAGACAGUAAUUGGAUCAUCGAAUGUUCCGAUUACAGCUGAGGAUCCUAUAGAAGUUCAAAGUAAUUUUACAUUUAAUUUACAUGCGUGUUGACUUAUAAUUGAUUUAUUUUUCAAAUUCUUAUAUUAUAAUAUACCAUUUGUAGCUGAAAAUGGUGGGACGCGCAGAGGUCGAGGACGUACGCUACUUAGAGAGUUAUACGAGUUAGAUCCAGUCAAGCGUGUCAAAGUUGGACGAAACAGUUUUGGUCAGCCUGUUGGAUCAAAAGCUCGAAUUUUAGCAGGAUACAUGGGCAUUUUAGCACGAAAUGCGAAUAUGUUGCCUAUCAACUACGAGUCAUGGCAUCAAAUGCCCGAUAGCAACAAAAACCAAGCCCUCGAUAAUAUUAAGGUAACUUAAGGUUAAUGUCAUCUGUAAUGCUUGGGAAAUAGUAUUAACUUGUGUUUUUUGUAGGCGAGGUUUGCUUUGGAGGUCUCGGAUGCUUAUGUAAAGAAGGCAUUAGGAAAAAGAUGGAGAGACCAUAAAAGUACUUUAAAGAAAGAUUAUUAUAAUACAAAAACAACCCUCAAAGAGAAAUUGCAAAAUGUCCCGCCGGGUAUGCUGAGGUACCAAUAGGAAGAUGCGGUUAGAUUUUGGCAUUCGAAGAAAGGCGAGGUAUGAUGUAAUUCCAAACUAUUGUAAUUAUUUUGGUUUAUAGUAUUUACUAUUUAAGUACUAAAAAUUUCAUAACGUAGGAUCGUGAACGAGUUGGAAAAAGCAGCAGGCAGAAACAAAAAUUCACUCACACAGCCAGGUCGAGAAGUUUUGCAUGUGUAGCUGAGGCGAAGGUAUUUUUAAUUUUUUAAUAUUGUCAAAUAUGUAUAACUUUCCGUUAAAUAAUAUUUUUACUACUAUAUUGUAGGAACUAUCGUCCGGUCAAAAAGUUGGACGCCUUCAACUUUUUGAAAUUACACAUAGGAAGAAAGAUGGAUCUGCUAUGAAUCCUGAAGCUAGUGAAAUUAUGGUACGUUUACUUAAUACGAUUUGUCUUAGUUUAGUUAUUUAUAGUGUUUGUUUUCUAAUGGUUUAAUUCAUUGCUUGUAAUGCGACUAUUGUUAUGUUGCGUUUGUUUUUUUAAUAUAUAUUGCGUUCCUAACUAUGUGAUUUAUUUAUUAGGAAAAACUAAAGGAUAAAAAGACGGAGUACGAAGCGAUUGCUUCUAGUGAUAGUUCUGUUCAUCUUGAAGACAUUGAGAACCAGAUUAUUACUGAAGUUUUGGGUCCUGAAAGGUAUGGUCGGGUUCGAUUUCAAGGAUCUUUUGUUAGCCCAACCCAAUAUUUUGGAUCCAGCUCGCAGCAAUACAUGGCUUCGGGGAGUCAGGCUCAAGCUGAAGUUCAGAGGUUAAAAGACUAGAUGGCUCAGAUGCAAGCGACCACAGUUGAGGUUCAAAGGAAAUAUGAAGAACUCUAGCUACAACUCAGAGGCAGCAGCGAUGGAAGCAGCGGCUGCAGUAAGGGAAGCAGAGGCUGCAGCGAGAGAAGCAGAGCAGAGCAGAAAGUACGAUGAACUCCAGCAGCAGCUUCAGACUAUGAUGAAGAUGUUUCAGUCGCAACUUCCACCGUUAUAGCGUAUUGCAUAAAUAUUUUUAUCAUUUUAACUUUUUAACAUUUUUGCAAAAAUAAUAUGAAUUCACUUUUAUUUAUUGAUAUUAAUAUUAUUUUAUUCAUUUAAUUUGAAAUAUUAUAUAAAUUUAUUGCUUUUGGCUGGUUUAGAUCUAGUUGCUUUUGAGUUGUUACUACAGGAGGGCUGAAAAAAUAAAAAAUUUUAUAUAAAAAAAUAUUCCAAAAAUAGUGGCGUUUUUUAUAAAAGCGCCGCUAAAGAAACAUUUCUUUUAGCGGCAUUUGUGAAUAAAGCGCUGCUAAAGAACCUGAUCUUUAGUGUCAUUUUUUUGAAGCGCUGCUAAAGAACAUGACUUUUAGCGGCGUUUUUUUCCAAGCGCCGUUAAAGAACAUGAUCUUUAGCGGCGUUUAUUUUUGUAAACGCUGCAAACGUUAGCGACGUUUUCGUUAGCGGCCUUUAAGCGCCGCAAAGAUCUUUAGUGGCGUUAAAAAGCGCCGCUAAAGGCCUAAAAAAAUGCCGCUAAAAACUUGUUUUGGUGUAGUGCAUAAAUUCAACAGUUGGAUUAUUAAAAUAUUAAUCGUAUAGGGGGAUACAAAAGGAUGUAAAACAACUUUCAUUUUAUACCGGUGUAAGUGGAUUACUCCCCAUAUUUUUUUAUACACUUAUUUAUAUAUAUAUCGAAAUUUUACAUACUUUAUUAAAUAUGAUUUUGUAUCUUGAAUCUUCAACUAAUUAGUAUAUUUUAGCCAUGAUAUACCUCAACCAAUAAUAACUAAAUUAUGAUAUACUAACGAUGUGAGUGAAAAAAAAACUUAUGUAACAAUUUAUUUUAAAAAAUAAUGAUAUAUAUAAAAAAAGAGUUAUUGAAAUAGUAAAGUUAUGUAAUAGCUACUAAGGUGUUUUUCUUCAAAUUUUAUUAUACUCAUUUUUCUAGAUUUUACAUAAAAUAUAAACUGAUAAAAAUACUCUCAUAAUAAUAUUUGUUCUUUUAUAAAAGUAAUAGAUUUUCAUAAUUUUUCAACUGAGUUGAGACUGAGUUGAUGGGUGACACCAAUUCAAACAACCUUUUAAAAAAUAAUAUUAAUUUAAGGUACACCCAUAAUGGGAUUGGAAAAAAUUAUGUAAUAGACAUAUUUAUUAAAAGCUUAUAUAAGAAUUAAAUGAAUUACUUGUUGAAAUGAUAAAUCUUAAAUCUUAAAAUUUUUCGUUGAAGGUUCAAAUCUCACAAUCUUAAAUUUAUUAUCGAUUUUAUAUAAAAAUUUAAAAAGAUGUGAAUACCAUUAAAAUAAUGUAAUUUAAUUUGUUAAGUAAAAAAGAUAAUAUAGAUAUAAGAAAAAAACUUCCUUAAAAAAACAUUAAAUCAUACCUUCGCAUAACGUCGAGUAAAUGCGAGUAUCCCUAUCACACACACAUAGAUGAUUAGAGCUCAACCUCGACCAGCAAUAUUCACCAUCGGAUGUACAAGAAGUAUCCGAACUAUCAUUCAAAUAGCAUUCUCCAUAUAUUGGUGUGCCCCAAUGCAAUUGUGUUGGGACAUGCGUCCUACUACUUAUAUCAGAAUCUUCUAAAUCAUAGUCAUCAGAAAUCAAGGAAGCAAAUCCGCAUGAUUUUUUCUUCCUAUAAUCACUAGAAUCAACCCUAUUAGUCAUGUUUAUGUAGAAUGAACUGAGAUCCUGAGGGAAAAAAGCAAGACAACUAGCAACAUAAGAAGUCUUGUUAUUAAUCCUACAACUUGGUUGCAAACAUCCGCCCAAAAGUUUAUCUGUUUCAUUGCCAAAAAUAGUAACCAAAUUAUCGCAACCUGAAUAAUAAAAACUGUUGUCAGAAGUUGAGUAGGAAAAGCGGGUGCCAGUUAGGUUGAGACUCAUCCCAUUAUGAUGGUUCUUUCGAGUUUCGACAGUUGAAGUAAGUUAUUGGAUGGUUGACCUUGAUGGUGCCUUUCAAAAAAUCAAAGUUCAAUAUUUGUAGAUUCGUGUCAUUUAUGUUUAAGAAAGGAACUUCUCCCCCGUUGGCGGUUUUGUUGCAAAUUACUUCAAACCAAUCGUCAAUUUCAUAAUCUUGGUCCUUCAUUCUAAAGGGGUAGUGAAAAGUAACAUUUCCGCAGGGCCAUACCUUGUAGGUGUUGACGUUGAUAGGUCCUAGUCUUGGUCUUCCGCAUACUGCGGAUUUAGCAAAAAAGGAGUCAAUCG